CAUCUGCAGGCUUUUUCCUCUCUCUUUUUUUGAAAGCUUUUUUUUUCUUUGUGAACCUGUUGAUGUGAGUUUUUGGUCAAAAUGAUGUGAUACGCUGGCUGUCCAUGGACACAGUGAAGUAUAUAGCAUAUCUGCAUACACAAGAUGCUUGACGGGAGUGUGAGUGGCGACAAAUUAUACGGAGGAAAAAAAAUAAAAAAAAAUGGUGGCAAAAGAUGAUGCACCUCCAGAAUGGAAACUGCAAGUAGAGGAGUGAGUUUGACAUAUGGUUCCAGGACCCACAAGAGUGAAUCUGAUAUACAUCAUUUUCCAAAUGUCGCGAAACUAGCUUUAUUUGCGAUGGCAUCUAUCUCCAUGAACAAAAACAAAAGUUUAUCAAAUUAAAAUCAAUCAAUGAGCAUUAUCGCCCAAAGAAUUUAUCAUUAGCACUUGAGUGGGGAAAAAAGGUCAAUUCUCUAUUUAAAUAGGAGUACUAAUUUAACCGACAUUAUUAGCCUUUUUCCUGAGGAAAGGUUUAUCAUCUUCAUAUUUUCAACUCGUUUUGACAAUUGGGUUUAUCUGUUGUGCAAAGUGCAUCAUGCGGCUGCCAGGAGCUGUGCCUGCACGAGUAUUGAGGGAUGCCGAUAGAAAGGCCACGCUAUGGCAGCCAUCCACGUGUCACAGCCUCCUGUAGAAGUAUUCCCUUUGACAUUGGGCUGAUGAUUUGACCCGGGAGAAUAAUAAACGCUGACGUGGCGUAACUGAAUGAAGGGAUCACACGGCCACGUGGCGGCUACAGAGGUGGUCUGACUAGGAAAGAUGCAUGCGCCGAGGGCGAUGCCUGUCCGAGAGAGAAUCUGUAACUAACUGGUGCUGUUCGUUACCAGCGCUGCAACCGAUCUUUGCCCCCUAUUAUUCGUCAGAUCUUUUCUUCUUCCUCGCAAAGUGACUUGAUCAUAUGGUCGCCACGUCAUAUAUGCUCAUGCUUGUUCAUAUGGGUGGAACCAAUAACUCUCUGAGUGAGGUGAUCACUGAUCACACAACAUUCCAACAAGAGUGAUUACUUAAGCAUCCAUGGAUAUAGUUACCUGAAGUGAUUGUACAAUUGCGUCUUUGUCAGCUAGCGGGGACGAAGCCAGAAUUGAACUAUAGGGGGACCAAGAUAGUCGUCAACAUUCUCUUGUAAUGGUGGUUGAUGACCUCUUUAUUAUUUUCAUAAAAUGUAUUUUUAUAAAAAAAAGGUUGUUUUGGGUGGCUAAUUAUAUAGGUGGAUUUUUUGUUUCAAACUUUCUUGUGUUAUAUUUUUUGAACUUUUGAUGAGCUAAUGAGAAAAUGUGGGCACAUUAAACUUCGGAGGUGUCUAACUCACUCUCAAGAUACACACAUAAUGAUUGUGCUCACAUUACAUCGAAAGUGAUUAUCACAGUGUUUGGUGCCCCGAUUCAUCAUGAUGCUUGAGAGUGCGAUAUGUUAAAAGUUUAAAUUUUGCAUAUGUGUGUAGUACAAGUACUAGUUUGAAGUUUUGGAAAAAAAUUAAAUCAAUCCAUGGAUGCACUUGAGAGGUUAUUAGCUUGGUCCAAACGCUAGUUUUGUUUGAAAUUAAUUAAUACUUCAUUUCAACACUUAACUGCUAAAGAUUUAUUUAACUUUAUUCGUACAUGUACACAAACUAUAGCAUUCUAAUUAAUUAAGGCUUAACACAAAUCAUAUGGCAGGGGGCAUGGGCUUGGUUCCAUCCUUGUCCACCAGGAAUGAAAUGGUAGGUCGGUCUAACAUUUGUACUUGUCAAUGGCAAUUUACUUUGUGAUAAGUGAUGUGCCUGUCGCUAUAGAAGUAUAAUCGGUAGUUUUCUCAAUCUCACUUAACAAGGUCAAAGUUUACAGUAUAAGUGCUAGCAGGUAUAGUUUUCUUAGCUUAUUAUGUGAGCUGAGUUUGAGAUUUUGUAUAUUUUUAAGUGGAAACAUAGUUGAUUAGUUGUUGAACUCUAUUGAGGUGAACUCAACCUCUACCUAGGCAUGGUAGGCUGGCUCAACCUCUCUGCUCCUUUACUCAAUCCCUACUGUAUAUUUGUAUGAUUUAUGGUUCGCACUGUUAAAUGGCACAACUUAAGUACUUGUUGGCGAUCACUUAAUAUCUAGAGUAGAGAUAUGGUGAGACAAAAUGCAGAAGGCGCCUAAUAACUAGCCAACAUCAGAGCAAGGUGGUUACAACCUACACAGGGGUAGGUAUAUGUUGGAGCUUACGGGUACAAGAUAUCUUACUACUACGGGAUUGUGUAGUAGGUACUUGUUUGAAACAAAAUACCACUUUUACACACAUGACACAACCAUUUGUAAACAAAAUAAGAGAAAACAAUUAUGUGGCAUCGUGGUAAACGGUUGAAAACCCUAUGACACUCAGGUGUUCUAGAGGUUCUCAACACUUGGUUUGUCUAUCAUUGAUUUGUGUCCCAAACAAGCUCUGAUCCUUCCAAUUCGAGCGUCUGGGUCACCUUUCUCGACAUCAGCGAGGUUAGCUAGGUUCGGGUUUCAUGAUUCAGCGCGCCGAGAUUUUUCUCCAGGAGCCGGUGGCCUUAAAGGGAGAGCCGGUGGUAGGCACAUUAAUGUUUGGGUGGCAGUGGCCACCGAACACGAAAGAUGGAGGAGCUGUUUGGACGGAUAGGAGCAGGGGCAUCAGAACCGCCACCACUUGGUCAUGGCGCUAGGUAGCGGCAGUAGAACUGGCGGCACAGGGAGCCGUCGAGAUGAGGAAGGUUGGCGGGGCGGGAGGGGUAGGGACAAGCUCACCAGAGUUUUUGCCCAAGGGGAGGACACAGGAAUUUGGGGUAGUCGUCCUAGCGCAGGUACGCCACCGCAUGUGGGGGAUGGGGGUGCCGCAGCUUCCGACGAGGGCGGACUGGCGGCUUUCCCAGCAGUGGCGCUAGGACUCCCCACAGUGACGGUGCGUCGCAUCGCCAUCACCCUUUGCUGGAACCUUAAGCUAAUCCCAAUGGGAGGCGUCACAAGCAUAACAUAGUGGUGGAGGAGCUCCCCCAUGACGUGCAGCAGAUCUCACAUGGCUAUAGUGACGUAUGCCACCAUCCACCAGUGUGGAUUCGCUCGCAUGCCCAGCAAUAGUCCUCAACCAGAGGCAGCGCUAGUUGAUGUCGUCUUCAUCAGCAACACUCACCACCACCUAACAGAAGGGCUACCGUUUUGGCCUCAGCAAGAAGCUCCAUUGCCCACUGCUGCAUCACUAGGAGGGCAAUCCACAACUAGGAAUCAUAUGCGUAGGAUGACGAGGAAAAAAACACUGGAGCACGUCGCUGCUCAUCUAUAUGGAUACUUUUUAAGUCACAAGAAUUAAUAAUAAGAGAGGUAAAUUAAUGAUAACAGGGAUCUUCUUGCUCCACUUAUUUUGUAAUAUGAUUGAGGAGCUUAUCGUGGGUCACUCGGAUGUUGUGGUACUUCUUGGGAGCACACUUCAUGGUCACUCAGGUGCAGUGCCUUCUCUUCUACAAUUUGUGUUCGUCUUAAUACAACGCUCUCUCUUAGAUGCCUAACAAUAAUCAUGGUUUUUUGUUAUGAAGGAUUUUAGCCCAACUGAUGGACAAUCAAAUCUUAAAUACAAUUUGUCCUUAUAUUUUGAAAUUUUCCGCCCCAAGAUAAUAGGUCGACGGCUAUGCCUUUACUAUCUGAAUCUGAAAAUUAAUUUGUAGGUAGAAUAUUUGGUCAUCAUUGACUAUAUUAUGAGGAGCAAAUUGCAGAAGGAUACUUGCAUCGGUUGAUUGCUCAUGUUUCUUGGAGCAACUAGGCUAUGAUGUCAGGCUGUAUACACUCAGGCAUGAAUUGUUGAGCAGGACUGAGUUUUUCUUUUUAUAGGCUGAAAGUUUUGUGAACAAUCUCUUAUGUUUUUAAUAACUUGCAUAUUCAUAAAGCUAAGCCAUGAGUUGCAUUAGUUCGGAAUCUUACUAGAAGUUUUAAUGCAUGUUUGAACUAGAUGUAGGACACAUUACAUAUGUAUAAAAAUUGAGAGGCCACGUAGAAUUCAAAGGAAUUGUCCGCUUAUUAUUAUUAUUAGAGAUGUAUACAAAUAUUAUGAAAUAUCCUAAACCAGAUUACGAAGUGAAGCAAGCGAACUAGAAGCUAGUGGAUGACAACUUGAACUAGAAGCUAGUGGAUGACAAUUUGGGAGCAAGUAAGAAACCGGAACAACGCACGGGCAUUUAUGCUAGUAUAUACCCUAUAGAGUUGCAGGGGAGAAAAAUAUGCAAAUAGAAAGAAAGAAAAAAAAAGAGUGGUAGGCAAAAGGGGAGAUUUGGGCGGUUACGCGUACGUACGGCUUUGCAAAGUCGCAGCGGAAAGGCAUUCGUCUCCCGAAGGCAGUUGGAAGGCGCGCCAAGGCGGAACUCAAACCGCAAUUCCAAACUGCAAUUGCAGGCGAGGCGAGCACACUUGUCGCCCGCCUUGACAAGUCAGAAUCGAAUCCAGCUCGCCCCGAUCGAAUUAACAAUUCCGAAAACAAGCUGCUUGGCCAAGCCGAAUUAUUGGCUCCAUCCAAGGAGAGAGAUGAGAAGAUUCGAUGGAGGGAGAGAGGGGUCGGGCCGGGGGGAGGAAUUGGAGGAGGAGGAGGAAGGCCGGCGCGGGAAUUCGGCCAUAUCCGAAAGGCAUCCCGUCCCACGCGACGCAUCGCACGCCCAUCCACUCAUCAUCCCCGCGCCGACGUCGAUUUCUUUGCCCGGAUUCCUUCCCCCGGCCGGAGCGAAUUUAUCCCCUCAGCUCGCCCAUCUCCCAUCCCGCCGCCCUUAAAUCCCGCGCCCGGACGCACCGUCUCCUGCCACCGUGGAGCUCCACAAGCCUUCUCCUCCAUCUCAUCACUCUCAUCUCUCUCACGCCCAGCUUCGUUCUCAAUCUCGUUGGCAGAGCUCAGUUGAAAGCUAAAACUAGCUCAAGUUUGCCUAGUCGGGUCCGGAGAUACCAAUUCAAUUCUUGGGGCUCUUGCCUUGGUAAUGUUCUUUUCUUGGGUUCUUGCUUGGGUUUAGCAGCUAAGAGGAUUUCUGUGCUCUCCAAGUAUUCCUUUCUCUCUCGCUGUCGCGGUCUCUUUUCUUGAUGCGCUUUAGAGCUUACCAUGGGGGCAAGGUUUGGGUUUGAUCUAUGGCUGCCACAGCAUGCACAUUGUGUAGCCUGGUUUCCAUUUGAUCGAUCGGUUCCUGAGAUCAUAGAGGUUCAGACAUCUCAGGUUGGAUCAUGCACAGACACCUGGCAGCAAAAUGUGAUCGCCGGCACACAAGUCCUUUAUCUGCAAAUGCAGUAGAGCAUAGCUCGCUGUUGCACUGGCGUACACCUUUUUCCAACAGUUAUUGCAUACAGAUGCCUGCAGAUAGGAUUAAGCAGCAGUUUCUGUUUUGUGCAUGCAACUACGCGUAUUAGCCUAUUAUAGACCAUCACGUGAAAAAGUGACGAUGCAUCCUUUUGCAACUGGUUUGGAAUUUGGAAGCGAUGUGAUCAAGUUCGUGUUUCUAACCGCACACCACCAUGUUCCAAUUGCAGGUAUGCAGGACCAGCUGAUCUGCAGCGGCUGCAAGCGUGUCCUUGAGUACCGGAGAGGAGCCACCGGCGUCUGCUGUCCAGGCUGCAAUACUUUCACCGCCGCCAAUCCAUCAGGAUCGGAGAUGUCUGAACUCGUCUGCGGCGGCUGCUUCACCAUGCUCGUGUACAACCGCGGCGCCGCCAACAUUCGCUGCCCGCACUGCGGCAGGGUGAACUCGACAAGAUCAGGUAAAACCUCAUCUGCAAAUAAACAAACGAUUGCAGUUGCAUUCACCUGCAAAUUCAGUGCAACUGACACAAGGUUUCUGCUCCUGAUUGUGAAGCAGCGAACCAGAUUGGCCACCUGUCAUGCGGGCAUUGCCGGACUACUCUGGCAUACCCACCGGGAGCCUCAACCGUCGGAUGCCCAACAUGUCGCUGUGUUAAUCCUGUCAGGGUAUGUUAAUUGCAAACCUAGUAGCUUUUGCUCAUUGCUGAACUGACAUGCCAUCAGUGAUAAAAAAAAAAAAACUAACUCAUGCUCCAUUUACAACCUUUCUGCAGAACAAUAACUCUGGUGGCUCCGCACGGCCUGCGCAAUCGGUAUGUUCUCCUCGCUUUUCCAAGUCUAUGUGCAGUCACUUCAAUUUUCUGCAAUCGAUGAUCGCAGCGCAACCACCCUUUUCGUUGCGUCAACCAGUAGGGUAGGGUUGGGUUGUCCUUCCCAAAAGAUCACAACAUUGGUAGGUUCAGGUUGCUCCAUGGUUUCAUGGGAAUCAGUUCCACGGUAGGGAAGUACCAAUGAUUAGCACACUCAGAUGCUUCCCGCCGAGAUUUUUAGCUUCAAAAUCCUCUGGACCAUGUCUAGUAUCGGGAUGGAAUUGCUGGUCCAUAGGGUUGAACCAAACAGUCUGAAUCUAGACUGAUGUCAAAAAUGUUGGACGAUAAUGACACGGGCUUUAUUCGCUGAACUUUCAUGUUCCUACUUGCAGGAUGCUCGGCCCCAGACGGUUCUGGUGGAGAAUCCUAAGACGCUGGAUGAAAAGGGCAAACUGGUGAGCUUAUCUCUAACACUCUGACCAUAAUUCAUUCUCUCUCUUUCACUCUUUGUCAAGUCAGCAAGUGAACUAUGAACUAUCAAUCUGACUUGACUGCUUUGUUUGUUCUGAUCCAGGUGAGCAAUGUCGCCGUUGGCGUCACCUCGUGGAAAAGAUGACCAAGCUAAAACUUCUCCGCGGCACCAGCAUCCCGAGGAUCUACCGAUUAAACCCUCGGUGAUGAACAUGCAUAACUAUUAUCAUCGAAUUAAUGUAAAAUCAAGUGUGUUUUGAAGCUUGAUAAAAAAAUGUAACAGUUGAACGGCAAAAGAUCUGAAAAUGUAAAUAUGAUGGCCGUGUGCGCUAGCCUAUGUACUCCAAGCCAAAAAGGAAUGGAAAGGAGCGAGGCAUUGUGUCCUGAGAAUUUUAUUCCUUGUCCUACCAAGCUUAGACACGCUGAGUCGGCUUUGCACUCUCUCUCCCGCUUUGUGAAUUCCGAUUCUUCAGUUGAAAAAUUUGAGACAACUGCUUUGCGCCAAAAAGGAUAGUGAUAGCCACAGGGGAUGUGCCUGCUUCCUUUACUGUGCACAAAAAAGUGGUACUCCUAUUCCAAGCAUUCCUCAUGAUAAGAUUUGACCAGCACAGGUCAGAAAAGAUUUGUGCUGGCUCAUAGAAUUUUCAGUACUGGCGGAUGAUAUUGGCACCCGCCAACACAAAAGGGUCUGGGCCCACUCCGUAAAAAACCCGCCAGCACAGCACAGGUGCGACCUUAUGUCACCCACCAGCACAAAUAAAGGUCAUUUGUGCUGGCGUGUCCUUAUGUCACCCACCAGCACAAAUACUUUUCAAUUUAUAUGGAUGGAAAGGGAAAAAAUAAACUAGUUAAAAACUUUAUUUUACAUAUCAUGGUAUAUUUUUAACAUAUAUUAGACUAUGUAUAUGUUGUUGUGUAGGCGUUGCAAAAAAUUUAUGGUUUAAAUGAUUAUAAGGAUGUUUAUUGCAAUUAACAUGUAUCUAAACCAAAAUUUUCACAAAUAAGAUCAAAAAAUUUCAGAAAAAUGAUGUUAAAGACACAUGUUUCAUUUUAAUUCAAACCAUGAAAGUCCAUGAAAGAUUCACAAAGUUUUUAGGUACAUUUCUCACUUCUAUUAAAAAUUUUAGUGAAAAUAAAUUCUAAUAAUAUCUAAACGUGGUCCAAAAACUAUAUAAAUUGGUAUGGAAUCAUUUUAUGAGUUCACAAUCUUGACAUAGAAGUUUCAAUAUGUUAUAAGAAAAUUGGAAUAUAUAUUGUUCAUCUCCAACAUUUCAAAAUAACACAAGUGAGGCUUUAAGCUUGUGAACUAACUUAGUACUAUAGUAACAUGUAAACUAACUAAUUCAUAAAAAUUAUGAUUUCUAUCCAACUGUAAUUUUUAGAUGCACUAUGUAACAUGUAUGUUCAUAUGUACAAGUUUAAGAUAUGUUUGAAUUCAUUUACUAAUUUUAAAAGACUUUUUAUUUUUUUUAAAAUUAUCUGUGCUCGUAGGCAAUAAAGCCGCCCGUCAGUAGAGAUUCCUCUCUACUGGCGGGCGACUUUAUUGCCCACCAGCACAGAUGCUUUCUAAAUUUAUGAUGGUCACCACAUCAGCGAUCCACACCUCUAAAAUGAUGAUCUCCCAUUGGCUGAACGAGGUUGGCCCGGCUCAGCAUGCACCCAUCCCUCCCAUGCUUAGGCCUUAUCUCUCUCAAACUCAUCUCUCUCAAUCCCUCCCACGCUCAUCUCUCACUCUCUCCCUAGCCCUGGCCGGCGCACAGGUAGUCGGCACCAGACGUGGGGUGCGAGCGGCGGGCGGGUGGCGGGGCCAGCACCAGGCGAGUGUCACCCCUGCCCCCUAUGGCAGCACCACCCCCGCGUGCCAUCGCCGCGUCACCUUGCCCUGCAGGGCCACACCGCCCGGGCCCCCGUGGUGCGGCAGGCCUCCACAGUUGGGUCGCCUACCAGCUGCAAAAUCACUGCCCUCCCCCCUCUCGCUUUCUUUUCUCUUUUCCACCAACAGAAUCCCGUUGACUGCAAGAUGGAUUGUGUAUCUGCGCUUACAUUGGAUUGCUGCUCGUGUUGUUGCUUUGUUGGUAGGUUGGGACGGGUGGUGGAUUACUGGUGGCUCCGUGGCGCUAACGCUAUCAAUGCAGGUGGAUUUGAGCCCUGCCGAUGGCUACUCCCCGGGCAUGUGGCCAGGCCGCCGCCGUGCAAGACCACGCACAUAGAACCAUGCUGCCCGCCUCGGCACCAGGCGAGUGUCACCCCUUCCCCCUAUGGUGGCACCACCCCCGCGUGCCAUCGCCGCGUCACCUUGCCCUGCAGGGCCGCACCACCCGGGCCCCCGUGGUGCGGCAGGCCUCCACAGUUGGGUCGCCUACCAGCUGCAAAAUCACUGCCCCCCUCUCGCUUUAUUUUCUCUUUUCCACCAACAGAAUCACGUUGCCUGCAAGAUGGAUUGUGUAUCUGCGCUGACAUUGGAUUGCUGCUCGUGUUGUUGCUUUGUUGGUAGGUUGGGACGGGUGGUGGAUUACUAGUGGCUCCAUGGCGCUAACGCUAUCAAUGCAAGUGGAUUUGAGCCCUGCUGAUGGCUACUCCCCGGGCAUGUGGCCAGGCCGCCGCCAUGCAAGACCGCGCAUAUAGAACCAUGCUGCCCGCCUCGACCCCAUGUAGGUUGACACUGUCGCCGAUCCGUGGGGUCGUGCUGUCAUUCUGGCGCAAUUUGCAACAAUAUCAAACAGGUGGGGCCGGCCCCAGGCGCGGGGGUGUGGGCGGUAGGCCAGCGGCUGGCACCAGGUGAGUGGCGCGGGGGCGCGCAUGGCGGCAGCGGCCAGCCCCAGGCACGGGCGCACGGGCGGCAGGCGCGGCAGCCGACCCUAGACGCGGGGUGCGGGAAACGGGUGCGUGGCGGCGGCGACCCCAGCGCAGCAGGUGGUGAGCGGGGCCGGCACCAGGUGAGCGGCACGGGCAGGCGGCCAGCUCAACCCUGGCUGGCACGGGUGGUGAGCGUGCUUGGCGGUGGCGGCGGUCGGCCCUAGGCGUGGGGGGUGGGCGGCAGGAACGCACCGGCCUUUUCUUUUGUUUUUUAUGUAGUAGUGAAUAUGAAUAUUUCAUAUUUAUGUAAUAUUGCUGUGGAAUGUUUAAUGGUAUGAAAAUUUAUAUAUUGUCCAUGUUUUAAUUUGCUUUGUGGUUGGAGAUACAAAUUUUAAAUUGGCAAGAAAUAAUAAUUUUAGAAUUGGUGGGAAAUAAAUUAGAAAAAAUGGUGGGAAAAAUUAAAAUUUCAAAAGUGAAAACUACCUGUGCUGGCGGGCAUCUUAAUAAAUGCCCGCCAGCACAGAUCGACAUCUCUGCUAGCAGGCGCUUAAGAGGCCCGCUAGCACAAAUCCAUUUCUACUAGCGGGCGCUCACCCACCAACACAGAUGCCCAUUUCUGCUGGCUCAAGGUUGCUGGCGGUUAGGCAACCCACCAGCGCAAAUGUGUUUUACCCACCAGCACAAAUCUUUUCUGCCCUAGUGCAGCUGAAGAUUAUGCAGCCUAGACCCUAAACUCUACUAGAAAGAAAGUUUUUAAGACGCCGCAUUGUUCUUCUUGACAGGGCUUUUCACUCAUAAUGUAAAAAUGGAAAUUAUCUCGUGUCGUGUUUCAUGGGGUUUCAGGUCCUCGGGUAUGAGAAAAUUGCAAUGUAAGAAACAGCGGGCUAUAGCAUCACUUUAGCUGGGCUAUAGCAUUUUGGAGACAUAGGCGCUACGAUACAGUGCAUAAUGCUGAUAUGGCCGCUACAAUCGCUAUUGCGUGAAAUAGCGGCGCUAAAUGGCAUAGCGGUCUAUAGCGUUUAGCGUUGCUAUGGCCGGGUAGUCAACCGCGGGCCAAAAUUCGAAGGUAGGCCGAUUUCCAGCACUUGUUCGACGGCCUAAUACUAAGUACUAACCCAAUAGAUCGUAUAUACGUUCCUGCUCUCCUUGGAAACCCUAGCACUCAGAGAUUCCCCUCCUCUCCUUGUGUCAUUCCCGUCCAAAAAUUCACCACCACCGCUGGUGUCUAAUUCGCCUGAAAGUGCAUCUCCCCUUUAUCGUGGCUUGUGCCUGUGACCAGAAGGAACUCCAGCUUGGUGUCUCAAUGAGAGGGUGGUGGCUCCUCUGCUGCACACGGCAGAUCAGCAGGACUAGAGGCAGCAAUAAUGUCUGAGGCUCAGGCAACACCUGCAAGCACAAAUCCAAAUCAUAAUGAGCCAGUCGGCCAAGGCAAGUGCUACAAGCCUACAUCUUUCAUAUAUUUCAAUCUUUCUUCUAUUGAUUUGAUCUGUUUUCAAUUUCAUUUCAAUUUUAGACUUUCAGCAAUAGGCUAAUAGCUAAUAGGGUUCAGUUCAUGUGUCAUUGACUCAUUGUGUAGUCUGGCCUCUAGUACUCUAGUGUGUACUGACUAUGAACUGUAAAGUGAAAUGUGAAUCUGUGAUGGUAUAGAAGUUAUUUGUUUUGAUAGCUUGCUGUCUCAAUUUUUUAUUUUGAUUGUGCCGGUGACAUUAACAUUAUGUACACUAAUUUGUAGGUAAUGGCUUGUCAAGUACAGCAUCAACAGCACAAACAGGUUCUGUAUGUGUUGAUUCAGCAGACCUAGCUUGGAAGCACUGCACAUUGCCAGAUCCAAGGAAGAAACAUUCACUAAGGUGCAACUAUUGUGGUAAGAUAUUGAGCUAGAUGAAUCAUUUAGAGAAGGUCUGAUAACUUGCAUUAUAAAGAUGGUUGACAAUGUAGAAGUUCCAGAUCAUUCAAGAACUUCAGCUAUAUCAGGAUGGGGAUGGGACAUUUGGAAAGGAGAUUGCCAAAAGGCAAUGGAAAAACAAGCAUUUUGAUCCAGGUACUUCCUGACUUGUUUAGUUGUUUUUCAUUCAUAAUUCUAAUAAUUUAGUAGUCAGUCAUUUAAAUGUUUUUUUUAUUUUUUGUCCCUUGUUUGAAGCUAAAUGGUGGUUGAACCAUGGAACAAGUACACCAAGACUCAGGAAAUUGGCUACAAGGAUUUUGGGUUUGACAUGCAGUUCCUUAGCUUGGGAAAGAAAUUGGAGUACAUAUGAGCAAGUAAAUAGUAAGGACUUGUUUUUCUUAUUGGAUUUAGUACUGCAUUUUGAUUUUUUUACCUACAUAUAGGUCCGCACAAAGAGACCCAACAAGCUUCAACAUGCAAGGUUGAAAGACCUUGUCUUUGUCAAGUUCAACUCUAAACUCAAGCAAAAAAGAGAAAACAAGAACAGAGACCCUAUUGAGAAAAUAGUAGCUAAUAUUUUAGAAGAUAAAGAUAAUGAAUGGAUCACUAGGAGUGGGCCAAAUGCAAACUCAGAACAAGAGCAAGAACCUUCAGGUGCUCAAGGUCAAGGUGCAUCAUCAUCACAGGGAGAUGCAGCAGCAACACAACCAAAAAGGAGAGGUGUACAGCUCCAGCAGCAGGGCAAUAGGAAGAGAAAGAAGCUAAUCCCUGUUCUGGAAGAAGUGCAAACUUCCUCUUCUGAGUCAAACAAUGAUGACCUUGAUCUUGACAUGCCAUCGCCUUCCUCUCCAGCUACUUCAGAUGAUGAUGAUGAUAAUUCUGCCUCUUUCGACUUGUCUGAUUGAGUGAAAAAUUUGAAGCUGUGAUGUCUGAGUGAAGUGUGAUCUUGAACUAUGAAAGUCUAAACUCCAAAUUGUGGUUGCUAUGCACUUGUUUGUUUUACUUAUUUUAUUUGGUUAUGUUAUAUUCUCUAGAACUGUACUAAAGUAUUAAUAUUUGGUUAUGUUAUGGGCUAUAAUUUUCCUAUUUUUUUGCAAUCCGCUAAAUGGGUCAGUGCCACUGUAGCGGGCGCUAUAGCACUCAUAGCGUUUUUGGAGGGUCUCCACUAAGUUCCAUAGCCCGCGAUUUCGUACCUUGGAAAAUUGCCAAAGCUUUUGUGCUUCUAUUCUGUAUGUCAUUCUAACUUGUAAACCCCUUGUUGGUGAACUACUAUAGUGUAGAAAAAAUACUCUAUGUGCAGCAAAAAACUAUUUGCAGCGUUGUGGGUUGUAUACUAGUAGAUUCCAGUGCAUUGGUGAAAAUGAUAUAUUUGGAUCAAAUACCCACUAAGGCUUAGUUCGAAAAUGAAGGGGCGCUAACCCAGGGUAGGUACAUCCUGGAGGGGGAUUUUUGUUGGAUAGUAAUUCCCUAUCUGCUGGUGAUCUUUGGGAGUAAAGGGAGAGAAAUCCCAGAGAGAGAAAAAUCAGGAAAAAGAAAAAAAUCAAUAUAGUCCCAAAUUCUUCGUUCUGCAUGUUCAAUAUAUCUACUAUUAUUGGGUCUGCUCAAUUAGCCAAUGUAAGCAUGAAUACCAACUUUAGAAAAUUCAUCAAAAAUAAUAUAAUGGGAAUCCCUAAGAACAAAAAUGGAUUGCAUGAUCAUCCAUACAUUCACAUCGACAUCCAUACAUUCACAUCGACAUACAAAUGCGAGCUUCACAUAUUAAGUUUAAGAACACGUCUCAUAGCAAAAAACACUCGCUUUAGUUCGGUUCACACUUGCAUCCAAGCCAACGCAUCUCAAGGUUUACCAUGACACAAAUCGUACAAAGUAUCACUUCCAACUUUUAGUUUAGGUGACAACUUAAAACUUUAACAAUCUUACUAUGCCAUACAUGGCACGAGAAAAAUAGCAACAAUGUGGAUCCGAAAAGCAAUGACAAAACCAUGCAAGAUCAGCGAGUCCCCCUUACUGGUGUGAUCCAAUAAGACAUCUACAAUUGCCAAUUAAACAAGCAUUAAUGUAAACAGCAUAUGAAAACCAAAUUAUAUAAUUUCACUACUAAAUCGUAACACUUUUUUUGUCAGGCAUUAAUCAAAAAGUAAAUGAAAUGUUAUUAACCUGACAUGCAGCUUUGUACUUCUAGAAAUAGCUACUCUGAAAUGCAGCUUUGUACUUCCAGAAACAGCUACUCUACUGGCAGAUUAGUUGAAUAUAGGCCUAGAUGGUCUUAGUGGCACCUGCAUUAGAAAUAGAUGUUGCGCUGACACUAAUCAAGAAUGAACGUUUUUGCAAGCAGCCUGAAAAUGCAAGACACCAGCUCGAUUUAGGCAAUGUGGUCAAAGAAAACAUAGUGCUAGUGCUUCUUGUAAGUAGUUUCAAUGCUCAAAAAGGCUUCCAUGAUAGAUAAGUGAGGAAAGUUUUGUGCUAAAACAUGAAUUUGCGCAACUCUAUUUGAAGACAUGAAAUCAACCGUGAAGGUAAUACAUGCUCAAAAGUAAGUACAAAGUGUGCUGAUAAGAAACUAAAAGAGUGAAAGAAACGGCAAGUUGCUACUCGAACAUUAGGUAUUUGGGUUGGAUAUUAUUAUCUAAUUAACACAACCACUAAAACCAAAAACUAAAACAUCCUCUCAUAAAGGAAAUAGACUAAACUGGUAGGUAGUUUUAUCAUGAGUCGUACUUCUUACAUUAACAAGCCUAGCUGCAGUGUCUGCACCAAUUAUGAAAGUACUUCCUAGGAAAAAUUUUGCUUUCUUAUAUAAGUAUAGUUGGUUAAAUAUAAUCACAUUAUUCCCUAUAGCGGAAAGAAUAAGAUAGUUACUGAACAACAGGAUGAGUUUUCCCUGGCAAAUCCCUUCCAUGUUAAGCUCUGAAGAAAAACAGCUUGCCCCUCAAAGCUACUAAAUAAUUGGUGAGAAAUCAAACAAACUUUCAGCAACCAAAGAUGAUUUGCCCAAGUUGAAAAAAGUAAAGGCUACAAUUGAAUUAAGCUUACAGGUAGCUAACAUGAAUCACCUAACUUCCUCCUGAUAUUAUUAAUUAGUAGAAUGAGUACUAUACACUUUCAAAGAUCUGUCAAGCAACCAUUUAAACUAGUAGAAAUAUCACUACAGUAAAAAAACACUUGCAACCAAUUAAACUUCUAUUUUCACAUAUCUCAACAGGAAAUAACAUAGAUGAUAAGGUGCAAAUUCAAACAAAGGAUUAUGCAGUACACAGAUCACGAAGUCAAAAUUAGAUGGCAAUGCGACCAAAUCUCAUGGGUAAUGACAUCAAACCGAGUCAAAAUGAAUGAAUGAACGAAUCCAUGGCGAAACCAGUGGAUUCAGCAACAAAGAUCUGACGGAUUCGAUUCCUGCCUUCCUGGGGGCAGGGAAAGAAAGGAUAGACUCAUGCAGAAUGGAAAAGGGCCACAGGUAUCAUCCAUGGGAGAAAUCUCAAUCUAUCUUGGCUAAGGAGGAGAGAAUCUUACCCAAGAGACGAGACGAAGAAAGCAAUCCAAGUCCAACUGGAUCUCCAAAGGCGUGGAGCAGAGCGCGGCUACGAGGUGGAGGGAUGAGUGGAUUGGCUGCAGUGGGAGGAGAAUGCUGCCAUCCCGAUUGGAGAGGAGGAGGAGGCAGUGGCAGGUUAGUCGUCAGGUUGAAGAGGGAGGCCAAGAAGGGGAGGGCGGGGGCGCCCGCGAUGCACGGGGAAGCCACGCCCGAUGUAACCAGGUGGGAAAGCAUUGCCCCGGGGAAAAUGCGUGGGUUAGGUGGGCGAGCCCCUUCGCGAGGGUUUCCAAAGGCCAGGUCAAUUUGGCCCGUGGCUGAUUCUCCGUGGAGGCUUUCGGCCCCAGGAAAUUGCUGGGAUCCCGGAGGGGAUUUGCGUUCCCAAAGUCACCGUAAUGUAACUUCAGGUUUGCUGGUCGAGGGGCUCAAUUCAAAAAUUCAUCUGGGGAGCAGAUCAAUAUCUGAAUUGGAUUUACUAAAUACUCCUUGGUUAUACUUUGAAUUGCUUCACUUGCAGCUGGUUCAUCUCCACACUCAUCAUUGUAAUGCCAUAUAUUUUUAUGUUUUUACACUACACAUAUAUAGUUGUAAAAGAAAUUUGAUUUAUUUAUUAAAUUUUGUUGAGAAGGUAUUGAAGAGAGAGUCCUGGGUAGAUGAAAUGCUAUCUUUUAGUUUCUUAACAUUUUAGUGAGUGAGGUGAGCAAUUUUCAUGUAAAAAUUAAGACGUGAGGAGUAAAUUUUUUCCCAUUCCAUGUUCACGUAAGUUCAUUAUGUAAAAUUUUGAUUUUAUUUUCUAUGAGUUAACUGCUCACUAACUGAAAGAGCAUCUAGGCUUCUAAGUGGGUUUUUGUGAAUUGUAUGACAAAAUGAUUAAAUGACUAACUUGUUUGCUAAAGAUUAUGAGCGGAAAUUUAUUCUCAUGUGUAUAUUGUGUUAUUGAUGAAUGGAAGAAUACAUGGCUCAUUCUCAUGAAAGUAUGUGAUCCCAUGAAGCAAAAGUGUGACAUAUGACAAGCGAAUUGAAAUAAGGUUAAAAGCAUGGUGAUAUGGUUGAUACAAUGGUCUCUAAAUAAUAUGAAAGCUUGGAAGACAAUGGGAUGUUAAUAUAAGAGAGAAGAGCAAGAUAGUGUGCAUGACUAAGAGACAUGGAGCUAUGUGAUAUUAUUGGUCUCAUUAUUGAAAGCUUGCAAAUGAGGAAUGGAUAUUCAAUGUUGAUGUCAAGGCAAAGCUAAGCUCAAAAUAGCACGAUUGGAUGAAGAAGUCAAGCAAGGGAUUAGCGACGAGGUACUAAGCAAAGUUUGGUCAAGUGACAACUUGAGACAUGGGAUCUUUACUAGGGUGAAGUGGCUAGUACUUGGGAGAUUUUGAGGUAUCAAAUCAAGCAUUACCGAGUGAAGCAAUGCAAUGCAUCAAAUAUUUGUCGGAGGACAUAUUGGAGUAGCUUAAGGAUUGGAAUUAUGACUUGGAUCACAUAUGUUGGAAAAUCCUAAGCUACUAUCUGAAGAUGGAUGUGCUCAGCUAGAAUGCAAUGUUGAAGCCCUCAAGUUGACAUCGAUAAAGUAUGGCAUGAGUGAAGACAUACAAGCUCAAGUGAUUGAAAUAUCAUUUAUAUUUAUUUUUGAGUAUAGGUAUGUUGUACUAUCAAGAGGGAUGCAACAUUGGUUGAUUGACAAAACCAAAAGUGUUUAUAGUUGACCCAUGUGAGAUAAGCCUUGAGAGAAGUCCCGAAGUGCACUAACUCAACCAAAAUCAACUUGGCCAGUUUCUGGCUCUGACACGGGUAAUGGCUAGUUUGUUUGAAAAUCGGCCUAGCAAAUUUGGGAAACCGGCUUAGCCGGUUUUUCCUCUGCUCUAACGGCUAGUUUAUUUGGCUUGGGGUAUUUAUACCCAUUGAUCUCCUCCUUGAGGGGUUGCUGGUGUUUGCUGGACUUAGAGCGUGCGGAAGCCUUUCUAACACUAGUGGAGCUCUCCCCUCUCUUUGUGAGAUUUGUGUAAUUCUUGAUAAAUCCUAGAGUUGGGUGGAGAGUGAGAUUGUGUGUGAGCAUUAGAGAGCACCUGUGAGCAAUCCAUAGCUUGAGCACUUGUAGUUGACAACAAAGCAACUUGUGAAGCAUUUGUUACUCUUGGAGGUGGAGCCUCCUAAACGGCUAGGCGUCGCCGCCUAGCUCCCAAAGUGUGGUGAGCAGCGGCAAGUUUGUAGGGCUGCGAUCUUGCCUCCGCAAGGGAAAAGAUCAUCUAGUGGAAAUGGGGAAGCGGUAGAGUGCGACCCAAGUCAUUGGAAGGGAGUUGAAAGAGACUCGUAUCCUGAAGAGUUCCUCAACGGGGAUGUAGGAUUCACAGUGGUAAAUCUGAACUUCGGAUAAACAAAUCCUCGAGUCUCCAUUUCGGUUUGCCUCGCUUGUUCAAUCUAGCAUUUAUUUGUGCUUCCGCUUCGACCUACUUGGGUAUUCUUACUUAUGUGCAGGGACCUUUUCAACCUACUGGAAAUCAUCUAUAGAAGUGCAUGUCAAGUUUGGUUUGUGCUAGAACUAGUUGGGGGCAUCUUUCACAUUGUUGGGGUUUUUUGUGGAAAACCGGCUAAGCCGGUUUUUGGGGAGAUUCCGUAGAAAUCUGCGAAAACUCCGGAAGUCGCUGACAAAAGUGUUUUAGAUUGCGAUAAAUUUCAGGUUUGACUAUUCAACCCCCUUCUAGUUGACAUACAAGAUCCUUUCACUAACUCAAUCUCUUUCUAGUAAUUAAUUUUGGAACUAAUCACAAUGCAAAAUCUAAGUGCGACUGAAUGAAAUAGGUCCUUGGGCACAUGAGCGCAUGAACAUGUGUCCCUAUAUUGCACUUAUUCAUAUAAGUAGACCUUUACUUAUAUCAUAAUUAUUAGUUACAAUGAUACAUUUGAAGUAUAAUAUGAAUAGAAAAAAUGAAUUAUUGUUGACCCAAUAUAGUUAUGGUCCAUGAAUAGUUUAUCACAAUAACUAGUCAUAAUUAUAUAACAUAAGACAUCAUAGUAAUAUAAAUUCGAUAAAUCACGAAACAAGAAAAUUCUAAAAUUGUCAGAUGCAUCCUUCCAUUUAAUCAACAUUUAUAACAUCUUAUUCUUGAAGUCAUGCAGUGCUUCUAUCCACAUUCAUGGCUUCACUUUAAGGAGGUAAUACGACCAAUGAACACAUUGAAGGCUUCAUCUGUGUCAAGCAUGCUAAUCCUCACAACCCUCUGAUCCACUCCAAACUUUGAUCCACCUCGAGUGAUUAUUUUACGCUCACGUAGGAAAGACUCAAAGUCCUCUACACCAUCUUUAUGGCAACGAAGCCAUGCGAAUGCUAGCAAUAAGGAACUUAAUAUGAGAAACAACUAUAUUUAUUAUUUUAGAUAUAAAAAGAUGAAAAAAGAUGUGAUGCUUACGAGGAUUGGCCGAGACGACUUCCUUAGCAAACAUGCAGUAGCUAGAGAGCUUAUCUGGGAGGCUAAAGAUGCCCGAGGUUGCCACAACAGCACGGAGUCUGCUCCACCGUUCUGCCAUUUUUCGUUGAGCAAAAUGGAAGAGGAGGUUUACUUUGCUAGUGGGCGAUAGCUCAUAUCCAUCACAGACAACCUUGAGGAUCUUUGCGGCGCGGAGCUGCGAGUCCUUAGACACACCAAUGGUGUUUAGUUCAAUGAACUUGGUCAUUUUCUGGGCCACCUCCAUGUCCUUCACCAACGCCCACCUGGAAAAAAUUAGGAAACAACCAUGGGUCAUUUAAUUUUGAUUUUAUGUAAAAAUUAUGUGAUAGAUUACUAUCGGUGAAGACGUUAUUUUUCAUAUUUAACAAUUUUGAUCAUAAAUGGAAAGAUGAUUACCCUAGCCUUGUGCCAGCAUGGCCGGUGCACUUAGAGACAGUGAACAGCAUGAUGUCGUGGUCAGCUGCCUCGGUGAUGGGGGUGUACUGCGGCCAAUAGUAGGCAAAGUCAUGAAUGGUCUUCCCGGACUUGGACUUGGUAACAGCUUUUCUGAUUCCGCCAUCAGGAUUGUUUGGCGAGCAAACGAGCUCAAUGCAGGUGUCACCGGCAAACGUCGUAUUGGCAUCGCCAUCCCAGCGGUAGAGCCCGGAGUUGAGGAAAUUUGUCACAGAUGGGUAGGACUGUACACAAUCGUGUGAACAUUUCCUCAAAAUUCAUCAAAAGGGCAUGCAUUUCUCGUCAUGAACGAUCGAUCUGUUGUUACCGAGUAGUAAGGCGCUGGCGAGACGACGCUCAUGGGCUCGCCAUCUUCUGCAGGCGAGAGCGCGAAGAGCGCAGCCUGGAAGAGUUGCGUGGAUCCUGUCCCGACUAGCAGGUGGUACCCGUCGACAAUGGCGUUGCCGACGAGGCGGUGGAGGCGGCGGACCUGGCGCUCGAACCCAGGCUCGACGAACCAGCAGAAGCCACCGGAGGUCGGAGAAGUAGCUCAUCGUCUGCCAUCCAGGGAUCGUGAUCGUCGCACGGCCUCCCAUCAAGCGCCAGAAUUCGUCGUACAAAGUUGGGUCACCUCUGCAAGGACACGUACGUGCACAUGCAUGUAUCUUGAAUUCAUCUUCAAGACAAACUCCCAGUAUUUUUAGAAAUAGAAAGAAAACUGAAUAGAGAUCUAGAAUUCAUCAUGGAGAUGGACACCAUGAUGGAUAAGGUAGAGAAAAGAAAUGAGAUCGAUGGAUGUAUCAGAUCAGAUGACUCACUGGUCGAGGUUGACGACGGAGUCCGGGGUGACCGGCGGCUUGCCUUUGGACGGCUCCACCGUGGUGAUCUCCUUGCCGCUACCUCCGCCGCCGUCGGAUCGGCCCCCGCCGAAGUAGCGCCGGUGGAUGUACAUCGCUAGGAAGGCCAGGUUCGCCGCCACGGAGGCGGCAACCCCGAUCCUCCUGGCGCACCGCACCGCCAUCCCACCGCUCCUCUCCCUGGCCACCAUGCCCUAGCUGCUUUUCACAGGCGGCGAGCUCACCUCCGAUCACCCGUCGGAAGAGGAAGGGAACAUGGCGAGCUACGGAACAACUUCCAUUCCUCUCGCCGGAGCCGUCUGCAUCUGCAAUUUCCAAGCACGUCAAGUAAUUAACAUCACAGCCUGCUGCUUAGUGAAAUCAAGUAGGAAUGUGUUGAAGGAAGAUCUAAAAAAAAGAAUGUAUUGAAGGAAGUUUACAGUGUACAGGUCAUUAGUUUUAGUCGAAGCACUCAACCUAACUGCUUAGAGAUUUUGACGGCAGCAUUAGCUAGUUUCCGAAUUCUGAAACAAGCAAACGAACUAAAUAGAAACGUGCGUGUUCCUUACCGUGCGUUGAAGGAGAUCCGAUCCUCCAAGCGCGGGUGGAGAUCGCGGAGGACGACGGCCACGGAGGAAGAGAAACUUGUUAGGGCUGGUCGACUAAUUAGGGCUGCGGUAGCGGCAGGUUAUGAACUUAUGAUCGAGACGGCAGGGUGAGUGAUCUUAUUCUGUUGGUUGCCGCAAGGGAUGGAUAAGCAGCAUGCAUGACUCAUUCCCAUGCAUGUCCUGCUGCAGCACCAAUUCCAGCCACACAUGCCUUCACGUCUGCAUGCAUGGAAAGGGUCAAUGGAACGAUCUGAUCUUAAUUCCGGCUCCUGCAUGCUAGCGCCAUUUGACCAGCAUCAUCGUAUCACAGAUCACCAUCGCCCCAUCCCGUCCUCGUCCAUCACUCCUCUUAGUAGUGCCCUUUUAUUACGGAUUUUUUUUUAGAGAUUUUGUUUUGUUUUGUUGGGAUCCAAAAGAGAUCUAGUUUUUCCACAUCAGCAUGCAUGGCGGGCCUCGCUAUUCCCGUAGUGCCCCAACUAACCCACUCCACCAGCAUCACAUCAAUCCUUGCAUGGCCGGGUUGAUUGGUCCAUUCUCCUUUGAGUGAAAUGCAUUGCAUGUGUCACUAAAAUAUUCUGACAUUCUCAUUGAGUCACCUUUCUCGUGUCACCUAUUAUGCAUGAUGUGUUUUCACAUAGUGAGUGGCUGGGUGCUGCUUGGCACAGAGACGCUUGUGGGGCGGGGGCAGGGAAUGUUUUGGAGCUAUUGCGGUGGAUAUCCAUGAAUGGAGGAGGACAAAUGCACGCGCGCAUAGCUGCGUGGGGGCUCAGAUCACCCUUAUCAUGAGUGGAUUGUGGAACUUGCACUUUCUAACGCCACCUCCUCGCGGGCGGCUCGACUGUGCUUCCAUCUAAGGAUGGUAACGGACACAUUAUUUAUGCGCACAUACUGUACAGAUCAUUUUUCUUUCCCGUAAAGUUAAUCUCACACAUGUGCCCACAACCCACCACGGGUAAAAAGUUGUGCUCACGCUCAUGCCCGUCACCCACCGGUGCCGUGUGCCCGCGGGCAUGCCCACACGGGAACUCACAGCCAUCAAUUAUGUAAAUCAACAUAAUAUAUGAAGCACAGGGAUCACAUAACAUUACAAAUAAUGCAUCACACAUUGUUCAAAAGAUCACAUCACACAUAGUUCAGCAUUUUAGCAAGAGUACAAAUCCAAAUAAACAUUAUUCUGCAAGCCAAAGUCUUAACCACGGGAACAAGCAAAGAGUUCCAUUUGUCGGUGAAGAGCAAGAGCUGAGCACUCGCCGGACAUCACACAUCGCGCAUGAACGAACGAGUGGAAUCACAUCCAGGCCCGCGAUCUGACUGGGUCGGUCCAUCCCAAAUGGGCUGGGCCAUCCAUCACCACGACUAAAUGGCCUGACCCAGUAAUUUAGUAUUCUCCUCCACGCAAAAAGAAAUGCCUGAAAUCAACCUCCUCACAAAAGAAAACCGAAAAUUUUGAAUUAAAAGGAAUGGACAGACGUUGGAGAUCUAUGUCCCGAAAAUGUGAUUAGGUCAUGCAGCUUUAAUUUUUGUUAGUUUCCUAGUAGAGCAAGUGGUUCCACUAUUCCCUGAUUUUUUUUUCUGUCCGAAGCAGGGCUGACUGGACUCACGUGCAAUCAUGCAUAUGAACAAAGAUUAAACUCUGAAUCCAAAACGAAAAAAAAUAAGAAGUUACAUUGGGCAUUGGCUAAUAAUGAAUUGACAGCACCUGCACAUUGUGAUGGAUUCCAUCCGGCACAAAACCAGAGAGAUUCCCAAAUUAGUCAAACCCAUGCAAAGAUCACUCACCCUCCUCCUCUUCCCCCCAUUUUUAAGCAAAUCACCUAAAAAAAUUUUAUAUUAAUCGCCUCAUACCAACCCUAACUGAAAAUAUUUUAAAAAUCACAUAAUUCUAUUGAACCAUUUAUUUUUUUAUUUAAAAACUUUUAUUACCACUGUUACCCUGAUAAAACCUAAAAAUUCUAUAUGAGUACUACUACUAUUAUAUUAGCAACUAACCUCCCCGGGUUACGCUUAACAACCUUCCUUACCAGCCGACACUGGGGAACGAAGGAACGGUCCAGAUUAUUUUGCAGAAAGGUCCAGCCAUGUUUCGCGAAUUUGCCUCCAGAUCCCUGCGGUCCCGCGAAUUGCGAUAUAAGCCGUUCACGUGGGCAUUCCGCGGGCGCUAAUUCCAAUGCCAAUGGCGGCCGGCGCCGGCGACCCCGCCCCGUUUGCGGAGGCGGCCGGCUUCGGCUCCAACCACCUGCCGCCGCGGUGGGGGCCGCCGCCCCCUUCCCCGUCCCCCGCGGUCGGCAAGCUGCUGCCGUCCGGCGCGGUGCCGCGGCACUCGUACGUGUUCGACGGCGAGGGCGGGUUCGCGGAGGCGCCCUGGGGCCUUGCCGCGUCGGGGAAGGCGAGCCGGCCAGGGGAGUUCACGUGGCACCACGUCGAGCUCCCGCGCGCGGCUCCCGGCGGCGCUGGCGCGGGCGCGGCGGCCAUGGCCAAGCCGCUCCACCACGCGCAGGCGCUGAUCGAGCUCCUCUGCCCGCCGCUCACGCUGCAGGAGAUCCUCGCGUUCGUCGCCACGGGCCCGCACUGCGCCUCCGCCGCCGGCGGCGGCGACGCGCUCCUGCUCCGCGUCAGCUCGCCGGGGCCCGUCGGCAGCGCGUACGCGCUCCGCCUCGCCGCGCGCGUCGCCGAGACCUCCGUCGUCACCGUCUCCGUCGGCGGCGUCCCGCGCCUCGCGUUCGGGACCACGCAGGCGUCGCUCCUCUCCGAGGUGCCGCUCGGCGUCGCGGCCUCGCUCUCCAACGAGGGCCACGGCGGGGGCCGCGCCGUCGACGGCGGCGUCGUCAUCGAGGAGCGCCUGCUCGAGUCGCUGCUCGCCAUGAACCACGCCGACGGCGCGCACACCGACAACCCGGUGCCGCGGACGGUGUCCAACCUCCUCGUGCACGUCCUCGGCACCCACGUCGACCACGUCCACGACAUUGUCACGCGCCUCGAGAUGGACCUCGACGCCAUCGAGCUGCAGCUCGACAAAGGUAAGCGGUCGGUCGGUCGGGGGUUGCUUUCUUGCUCGGCAAUCGCGUAAGCUUCCAUUCAUAUUCCUCAUCUGGAUAAAAGUUUUCGCUUUGCUGCCAACCUACGCCUCUGUGGUUGGUGAAGGCGAAAAUGUUGACCUCUUGCUGCAUGAACUCAGAUCCUAAUUAGGUUGAUGGGAUCUUAAUUAAUGGUGUUCAAUAAAUUGAGAAACUAUUGCAAAAUUUGGUCAAAAAUGUGACAUUUGGUCAAAAAUGGCAAGAUUGGUCAGAGGAGAAUGGGGAUUGGGAUGCUUUACGGGAUGGAUGUGGCUGUCGAAUGCGUGUGAUUGUUAAUUUGCAUCAGAACGACAAAUCGAGACAUUUCGAAAUGGUUGAAUGCAAGUCCUGAACUGAAUGUAACAUUGACAAGGACUCUGAUGCCUGAUAUGUCAUGAAUCAUGAUCCUGGUGUAGUAGUGCUUGCUGAUUAGACCCACUUCACAUGGUCAUGAGUGUCAACCAUCUACAAUGCAAUGCGACCUAUGUCUAGUAAAUUGUGUCUGCUUCAGGAAAAGGGCUAGCAUUGUGGAAAUCUAGAGGGAAAACGUCUUGGCCUGCAUUCUAGUAUACUCUGGCAAAUGCCAUUUCGCAUUCUCACCUCUUCCUCCCUAAGGACUUAGCUUCAUGAUUGGUGGUGGAUAUUGCUUGCAGGUGGUCACUUUAUGAGGAAACUUUUGCUGGAUGGCAGGAGAUUCCCAAAAAUGCAUCUUGAUUUACAGCGCCUGCUUCAGGUACAUUGGAAUCCUGGGAUCCUAUGUUUACAAUUUACACUGUUUGAGUUCUAGUCAAAAUUGCAAUGUGCAUGGAGUAAGUGACCAUUCGAUGUUGAAGGUUAUCAUGCUGUGUUGCUUGUAAUUUGACUUCCAUACUCUGAAAGAACAGUCAGUUGAAUUGAAUUAAUGUAUGGACUUACAGAAGGCACAGAUUGAUGCUACUAUUUUGUUUGUGUAGGUUGUUUCUCAUGGUGAACAAGUGUUCCCCCGUGUGAAGGAAAAAUGUGCGAGCAAGAGUUGGUUCUCAACAGGAGACAUUGCCGCCCUUGAAGAUCUGAUAGGUCGCCUUAGGAGGCUCAAAGAAAACCUAGGAUUCAUAACAAAUAGAGUGACAACACUUCAGGCUAGUCUGGACAGUUGGCAAUCCGAGCAGAUAAACAAAAGCUUAUACUAUCUUUCAUUUCUCUCCAUAAUAUUCCUUCCUCUAUCCAUUGUCACAGGAGGUAAGUUCUUUCUACUGGUUCUCAUUCAUGUCUACUUUCCCCAAUUCAUUUCUUUGGUUCUCACUUACAUGACUUAUAAUUGCACAAUUUGUCCAGUUUUCGGGAUGAAUGUUGGUGGUGUGCCAUGGACCGAGCAGAACAAGAACCCAAAGAACCGAGAUGGCUUCAUGAAUGUCAUGCUAAUAUGUGUCGCGAUCUUGCUGCUUCUGUUGCUCUGUUUCUUGUUUCCUUCAUUGUAUUCACAUGUGACGACAUGGAGAACCCGUCGUGAACUGAAGCGGAACAAUUCUCAGAACAAAAGACACCUGAAACUCUUCAAAGGUCACAAAGAAGGUUACAUGCGCCUAUGACAAUAGUUACAAACUACGGUGCUCAUCUCAGCGGUAAGGUUAAUGACAGUGAUGUUGUAAAAUUAGAGGAAAAGAUCCUAGACAGUCAACACAUGUACAGGUUUGAAGGAGAACCUCCAUUGGAGGUUCAUAUCUUGUUCAUUGAUUAGUUCAUUUUUGUUGUAGUCUUUGGUAUGUUGGGGAAGCAUAUAAGCUCAUGGUCGUAACUGUAACAUUUUUUCCCCUCAAAACUGUGACAAUUUCCCCAUGAUACUUGGCCAUUGUUCUUCCAGGCUGCUCUUUAUGUAGUCAAGCAAAUUUGGUCAUGUUUAUGGCACGCUGAAACUGCAACGUGCUGAACAAAUGCUUGGCCUGUUCUUCUGAAGCAUGUUGGUGUGUUCAUUGCUUUGCUGCAUGCCAGCAUGAUUGCACAUUCCUAGCAAUUGACAAUGCUGGCAAAACAUGACCAAGUCUCUGUUUUAUUUCCCUUGAGUUGAUUGUGGAAGCAACGAAAGUUGCAAGUACUUUACCUCCAAAAGUGCCGACCAGAAUAUGCAGGUGUGCUGAUUGGAUCCAUCGAGUAAACAAAUUGCUGCUUGUGAGUUUGACAUUUGGUUUGGAAUUGGAGAUAGGCCUGGCUAGAAGACACCUUCACACCUGCCCAGAAGGAACCUUCAGAUCUAAAAAUGUUCAUGGCAUAUUUGGCAUCUACCGACAUUUUUGAUAAGAUAAACAAUUGUGGAUUCCAGAUUUUGACAUCUUCAAGAAUCAUGAAUAGAAGCGAGCAUGGAUCAAAAUCGCUCAAAGGUGUCAAUUUUAUACUAUGAGUUCCCCAUAAUAUUCAAGUACAAGGGAAAAUGGCAAAGCUAAAAGCACACUUCAUUCUUCCCAAAAAGAAACGGAGUGUUUCAAUGAUACACCUCUCGUAGAAAAAAGAAAUUAUGAGGUUUCAUUUCUAUGCACAACCCCGUAUAAUUUCACUUUGAUCUGCAGACUGCACCGAAUGAUGACUCUACCGCACAGAUAUGGUGGACAAUUGAUGGACACCACUGGAACUCCUCUUCUAGAACCUGUAAUGAAGAGUAACAGUGUUAGGAUGCAACUAAGCAAACAAGCGUGCAAGUGUACAAAAGAAAAGUAGAUUUGCUUCUUAUGUUGUUUACUACAGAGUAGGAUCUAACUGUUUCCAGCAAAAGUAGGGAAGCCUCACCUCUAUGGAUUUAAUUUUAUCUCUCAUGAAGUGUUAGCAAAAAAAAUACUAAGACCUGCAUCUACAGAAGUACUGUCAUAAUACUAAAGCCAGCAUACUUUAUGUUGUUUGCUUAGGUUUAUCAUGACUCCAGCACAGAUAAAUGGAUAAUAACAUGAAGAAAAACUAAGUGGUGCACCUUAAAUUCAACUUCACUUGGGCUUCAGGCUUUGAGACUGUACAGGAGAUGAAUGAUCUGCAAAAACAAAGCCAUGUGUUCAUCUUAAUGGUUCAUCCACAGACAAAGAAUCAGACGAUAACAUUACUAUCACGGGCAGUACCACUUGUCAAACCAGUCGAAAUUACUCUAUCAAUGUUAUCAAUGCGGCGCUGUAUGGACUUCAGUAGCAUGUUCAGUGCUGAAAUUCUUUUACGGAUAGUGGAAAUCCUUGCUGAAUGUUGCAUUAUUACCAGUGAAGGUGCAUUCUCUAAUAGUCUGUCCAAUUCUGCAAAAACAUUAGGCUCAGUUCCAUGCAGUUUCUGGGUACACAUACAUAUUGUUCAGCAAAAAAAUUGUCUAGUCCAUUGAUAUAUGAAAAAAAAAAUUGAACAAUCGAGGGGGGGGGGGGUUCAAAGUAGAAAGUAGAAAGUGUAAAAAAGAGCACUCCAAGGAAUAGACAGGUAAAAGUAUAGCUCCAAGAUUAUCUUGAACUUUAUUAUUUCUAGUACAAGCUGGCCCGAACCCUGAGCUGCUCGAUUUAUUGAUGGCAUAUUUUUAACUGCUAGAAUUUACAAAUCAAUUCAUUAACUCUCAGUCUCUAGCAAUAAUUGGAUUUGGCUGGCAUUAAAUAAAGCAACUAUUAACUACUGCGAUCAUAUGUUUACAACAUACUCCCUCCUUUUCUCAAUUUAAGGCUUAUUAGCAUUUUAAUAUGAUAUUUACCAACAAGUUUACAUUGAUAAUAUACUGGAGAGAAAUUAAUGGUCAAAGUUUACUUUCGAGAGUCGAGACCUUUUGAAAUCCUAAUACCCCAUACAUAAAGGAAAGAAGGAAGUAGUUUAUAGUUUACACGGGAUGAUUCAAAUGAGGUUCAUAUACACCUCAAUACACGCAUGUAAAAACAUAAGAAAUAUUGCACAAGAGAGAUUUAAUAUUGCACAAGAGAGAUUUUGACUCAAUUGCCGUGGCAACGAACUCAAAAUUUUGACUUCGCCUUGUGCAUGGUUAAGAUCCCAAAGUGGCAAAGUGUACCCAGAUACAAAUACAGAACACAUAACCCAUUCGGUAUGCCAUUUAGAUCCCAUUAAAUCUUCAGUUUUGAAUUAACACUACAAUAUGAACCUAACCUAGCAUUAAUGAGGCAAAAAUGCUACGCAUCAGAAGUUUCAGAACCCUAAGCAACACGGCCAUUCACGUGACCGCAGUAGCAUCAGGGAGCGAGUGGAAGGGAUUGUCGCGGGGAAGGCGAGAGGGAGCAGCAGAGAUUUUUCACCCACCUCUGUUGAGGCGGUCGAUGGCGGCGGCGACCUCGUCCUGGCUCCGGGCGGUGGCGGCCGCCCGCGCCUCGUGCUCCCGCAGCGCGCCGCCCAGCACCCCCGCGAUCGCAGCGGCCAGCGCCUCGCAACGCUCCGGCGGGUACGCGGCCCGCUCAUCCUCCGCGCCGCUACCGUGCCCCGCGCUCUCCGGACGCCGGUCGCCGGCGGCGGCGGAGGAGGAGGGGAGAUCUGCGCCGUCCAUUACUGAUGGUCCCAUCUAGAGGGCUCCAGUAGUGUGGUGGAAACUAGCGAAGCGGCCCACCGUUGGGCCGAAAAAUUGGGCCAAAAUCGGGCUAUAAUGGGCUGACGAGCCUUAAAAAAGAUAAUCGAUUUUUUCUUCUUACAUGACUCAUAUUUUAUUCAGAAGUAAAAUACAUGAAUGACCACGAAGGGAUGUCAUCAGGUCUCUGAGCUCGUCCCAGGUGCUCUAGAAAUACAUUUUUGAUCCUAAAAUUGUUCUAAGAUAUUAUCAGUUCCUAAUGCUCUCAAAAUACAUUUUAGAUCUUAAAUUUAUCAUGGAUGUCAUCAGUAGUCCAAAAUAGAGAGACAGACAUUAUCAUAGAUCCUAUUCUCUCGGUAGAUCUAAUAACACAAUUUAAAAGCUUAGGAACAUAAAAUGAUCCUCGGGGACAAGUUUAGAGCAACUCCAUAAGAAUCUGUAUCCUACCCCCUAAUACUUUAUUUAGGGCAAAACUUCCUCAAGUUAUUCGCGACGCUAAAACAGAGCCCGUCGCCGUGCAUAUUUACACGAUUUUCCUCCUCCCCCAAUCUGUCUUCCCGCGCACGCGAGAGAGUCUUCCCGCACUCGCGAGAGUCUUCCGGCGCCCGAUGCCCGGCACUGGCUCGACGGAUGCAGAGCUGGGGCAAGGGAGAAGGAGCGGCGGCGGCGUGAUGUGCUGCGGGAGCUUGAGCGCCACGGGCCGCCGCUGGGACUGGCCACGGCAGCCCCAAUCCUCCGCGCCCCCCGCACUAACCGCCAUCAGGGUAGGCCGCAGCGCUCCUGCUCCUCCGCGACGCCACGCGGGCUGGGGCCGGCAGUGGCCCCCUGCUCCUCCGCGCCGCCGCAUGGGUCGUCGAUAGGCCAGUGCUCGUAGUUACACCCGGGGAACAACGGCGCCAUCUCCGUCAGCGCGUAGUCACCUCCCUGCCCCGACCGCAGCGGCGAGUAGGAGGAGUCCGGCUGCCGUGCCAUGCAACGGACGGACCAACUCCGCCACCAUGUUGCCACGGGGGGCGGGAGGAGGAAUAGGACGGGAGGCGCCGAGACCGAAGGAGCUGUACCACCCCAUGUUAAUGGUAGCUUAAGAAUGUCAUUAAGAAGUUAAUGGUGAAAUUUGGAGGAAAAAGGAAGAUUAUGGGCCAAAGUUAAAUUGGAGCCAAAUUUGGUCAAAUCUCAAUUUUGAGAUUUGAAUUUGGUAAAAAUAGGCAAAAAUGGGAGGUCAAGCCUAAAAGGUAUUUCAAACCCAAAGGAAUAAAGUUUGGAGUUAAAUUCCAGCUACAAGUACUACAAAUGAAAAAUCAGAAAUGAGAGAAAUUGAGUACUAUUCACAAUCUGAAAAUAUGCAAUUCUGAAAACAGCAAUGAGUACCCCAUUUUGAAAUUAGUUUCUAAAGAAUCUUUCAUUUAAGUGGGCAGAUAUUAUGGAACAUGAGUGAGCUAUGGUUCAUGAAGGGUCUCUUGGAUGUGUUGUUGGCCAAAGAAAGUGAAGGAUUCAAAUUUAAAAUGAAGCUCAAAGUGGGGAAGUUGAGCAGAUUUCAGCAUAGCUGCUGAGAUAUUUCCUAUCUAAAAACAGUGAUAACUAUGCGAGGUUGAAAUUCGUUUCUGAAAAUUUUUCCAUAUAAACAUUGAAAGGAUUUUGAGCCCAAAUAGGAUAUGAGGAUCAAGGAAUAUAUGGAAGGUGUUGUUGGACAAGGAUAAGUAGGAAUUGGAAUUUUUCUAAGGGCCCAAAGAUUGAAACUGUAUGUUGUCAGAGGAAUUUUGUUUAAGUCCCAGAAAAACAAAGUUGUUUAGAAGUUUUUGGUGCAAAUUUCUGAGAAAUUUAGUGUGAAAGGUGUAUGUGAGUAUGUGCAAAAUGGAAUCCUUAUUACUUGCUGAACAAAGAUAAGUGGAAGUUGGACAAAACAAAAGAAGGUUGAGCAUUUAAAAUCGAGCCUAAAGAGGGGUAAAUGGCCCUGUCAAAAUGUCUGACGAAACUAAAUCACAUGAUUUAGUUAACAGUUUCAGUUUUGCUCGAACUUUGUAGCUCGAAAUUCAUAGCCUUAUAGCGAUCUUUUUAACUUGAAUCAAAACUAUCAAAUGGAGUACUUGGGAUCCUCUACAAGUUUGCUUAAACAAAAUUUGAGAGUUUGGAUUUGGAUUUGGGCGAAUUUGUGAGUUGAAAUUUUGGUCGAAAGGAAGAAGAAAGGGGGGGAGCGAAGUAGAGCAAAGUGCCGUGCAAUCCAGCUGCACGCCAGCUCGUCGGCCAGCGCGACGCCGCCGUGCCAUGCACAAGUCAGGGCCAGCAUCCACACGAGCAAGCAAGCUGGAGGUGGCAACCAUGCGCAUGGUGAAAAUUCGGAUAAGUACCGCUCCUGCUCGUCUUGCUCAUCCAUUUACCACCGCUCGCUUUUUACCGCACCCCGGUUGCCGGCAUGCUCCACCGCCGUCCGUCCACCGCUGACCGUUUCCCUCCACCCAAAGCUUCGCCUGAGCACCCUGCACCUCCGCCGCUAGCAGUUGCUCCACCUUCUCCACUACAAUGCCGCCCCGCCAUCAUCUUCUUUGUGCCCGGCCACUGCUCUAUUUUGGUAAGGAACCUGCCAUUGUGGAAGUCUUGGUUGCUGGGGCUAAGGUCGCCGUCCAAGGGUUUGGGCGAGCUGCGCAUAGGUUGUAGAUGGUGUAGAACCCGCCCGUUGGCUUGGAGCAUGGCCGGUGUGGUCGGAACGCCAGCGCCGCCGUGUGUCCGCUGCCGCCAUGGCCGUCGUAGGAGAGCUCUGAGCUCUGGCCAUAGGGAGCCCUAGUUUGGGCGAGCGCCGUGCAUUGUAGGUCGAGGCAAAGCUGCUAAUCGAGCUUGUUGCCGUCGAGUCACCGCCGUUGAGUCACCCACCGCCGCAAACCCUAGCGUCGUCGUUCCACCCGCGGUUCGCCGCCGUCGUCGGUCGAGCCACCCCAACACCACCACCACCAUGUGCGCAAUGUCUAGGCGAGUUGAGCAAGCCAAGCCCCGUCGCCGGAGACCUCGCCACCAGCAAGGAACGGCGCGUACCCGCGCCUGUACCCGUGAUUGGGGGUGGGAGUACUGUGCGUGGGCUGGGUCCGUAGGUCAGAGAGAGGGGGUAGGGCGGGGUAAGUGAGAAAGGUCCUUCUAGGGGGUUUGGAUAAUCAUAGGUUUUUCUAUUUGCAGAUAAAUAGUUUAAAUUCAUUUUUCACCAUUUAAUUCAUUGAAAUUGUAGAGUUGUCCAAAAUUAGUGAAACCAAUUUUGUUAGGCUUGUUUAUUUUUCCUUUAUGCAUGAAAAUUCUUAAACCCUAGGAACAGAUAGUAAAAAAUUAGGUAUUUAUUUAGUACCUUUAUUUAAGGUAUUUAAGUAAAUACUUAACCUUUAUUAAAUGCUUAAAAUUUUGAAUAAUGUUUUCUUAUUCACAAUUUUUUAUUAAUUCAAAGGAAUUAAGUUUUGAGAUUAGAAAAUAAUUAUAAUGCUUUUCUAAAAUAAAAUAACAAGCUUAAGUUAGGUUAGUAAGGAAACUAAAAUUUGUGGGUUAAUCUUUAUGGGUAGUUUAGUGUUGGCUUACAACUUUAUCAUGAAGGAAAGUUGUAUAGUCAUGUGUUCAAAAGUUUGCAUCUCUAACUCCUGCAUGUACUAAAUCGUAGACACUGAAGCUCCAGAAGUGGAAUUUCUGGAAUUUUUUGAAGAACCUUCGGAGUUUGAGGAGGUUGUCGAGUUGAUCCCUUGCGAGGCAGGAUCAUCUGAAGAUGCUAACCUUUUUUUGGAUCAAGGCAAGCCCCGGUGCAUCUAAACCCAUCUACUUUCAGAAAUUACUAUUCAUGAGUCCAAUUAAUAGUUAUUUCCUUAUGUGUGUGCAUUAGGUCUAGGAGUUUAUUGAAAACUUACUUUUAUGCAUAAUCCAAUCUUGUUAUUAAGGACAUCUUUGCCACCUAUUAAACAAUUAGUAACUAUCCUAUGCUUAGUAAUGCUUAGAUACCUGUGAGUAACUUUGGUUACUCAACUCUAAGGCUAAGAUGGUCAUACAUGUUAAUCAAGGAAAUGGCUUGAGAUUUUGGAAAUGCAGACAAAAGUUAGAGAUGGUAGUUCUGUCUGAUAAGUUAAUUUGGUUAAGGCUUGUUCGUUGUCUUAACCUUUAAUCAAGUGAUUUUACCUGGUUGCUUACUGGGUAUGGGACCAGUAAAGCCCGGUAGGUUAGCUGGCUCUCUGAUCGGGAAUAUUUCAUACCCGUGCUUGGUAUGCAAUGGAAAGGCAAGGGCGUAGCCUAAAACUCAUAUGGAGAUCAGGCUAGAUGUGGGGUCCCAUGUGGGGGUGCGUCCCUGGGUUCGGGUAGUCAUAUUCCCAAUCUUUGGGUACGGCUAAUCGAAAGGUUGUUGUGUGCAACCCAUACAGUUGUGCAUGGCUAGUCGUCGGGUAUCUCCUGCAGAAUGUAAAUCGGUCCAGAUCGCCGCAAUUCUCGGUUAUGAAUGCACUUGAUCAUCACUUAAGCAUCGUAGUGUAAUCAAGUUGAAUGAAAUGUUUUUCUUGAAUUUAAUAUGUUGUAUGACUUAGUUCCACUUGAUUGUUAAAAAUGUUUUAUUCAUCUAGACUGGUUAGGUAACAACUAAACGGAAGUAAAAGAAUAAAGUUAAGGGUCCACUUAUAGUAAGCUUUUUCCGCAAAAUGUGAGUCAGCCAGUACACCAAACAACUAUAAUUCAGUUUUUGGAAAACUAUCUAUAUUGGUUAGUCGGGUCAGUCUUGCUGAGUACCCUCGUACUCAGAGGAUCCUUGUUGUUGUUUUAGAAACUUAGCAGGAGACCGUUGAGGGAGAAGCCCGAAGAACUAGGGUAUUGUACGAGUCUCAUAGUACCCUAGAAUAAAACUCAGCUAUUUAAUUAUUGCCCAGGACUGGUUUGUGUUUUAAACUCUUAGUACUGAACUAACUUGCACUGUUAGGUUUACUUCAAUCUAUGGUUUAUAAUAAUCCGUAUCUCCGAUAUGUAUGUCAAAAUGUAAUAUUUGUUGAUGCUUUCCUAUCGCGGAAGUGAUCCUGAUGUAUGGCUAUGGAACACGUCGUGGAUGUUUCGAGGAGUUCUAGGGACAAUUGACGGACUACCGGACUUACAUUGUUUUAAGUGCGUUUCGGAUAAUUGUUGUUCUGAUAGCGAUUAGACGCACUUAAGCCGGUUUAAGUUGGACAGUUCUGCCACAGGAGCGGCUGCGCCGGGCGAGUAGCGACGACGGCGCACGCUGCGGUGGCCAUGGCUGCCGAGGGAAGAGGUAGGUUGGCUGGCCGCGAAGUGGAGGAGGGGCGGAGGUGAAGGUGAAAUGGCGAGGCGAGAGGGGUUUCAAAUUGGAUGGGGUUUUGACGAGGGAAAGGGACGAGGAGAUAUUUGCUGUGGAUUGAACACCAUCGAAAAAAGAUGGGGUGGCUAAAAAUAACAUCGUGCGGGCGACGUGAGGGGCGACGGUGACGCUGGAGAUCGCGAGGGGGAGGUGCGCGUGCGAGGGGCAGGUGACCAGCCCAACUAAUGGACCCAAUUAUGAUGAUGUGGCUUGUUUUGAAAUGUUAGAGGCUAGUUAUUAGCGAUCUGUUGUGGGGUGAUAUGUUUUUGUGGAAUUUUUUUUUUGAAACGGUCCACAAUAUAUAAUUUUAGGGAAGAACUUUUUAGGUAAUCUUGAAGUUGCUCUUAGAGCCUGCCGAGUAGUUUGGUAUUUAUUUAAUUUCAAAUUUUACACAUAAUUAAAUUAUAUGAUCUAUACGUACAUUUUUUUUGUUGGAACGUUUCAUGAUGCUCACCGGUAGUUCCUCCGUUCCAAAUUGUAGGUUGUUUUAACUUUUCUUAUAGAUAUUUUUAUGCAUUUUGAAGUUUCUCCUGAAGCUGCGUCCAUGUAAUUCUCCUCUUUUUAAUGAAAAAUAUGAUAUGCACGUCUUUAAAAAAAGAUAUAAUUAUAUUUAGAUAUAUAAUAAUAUUUAUGAAUUCAAAAUGAUCCACAGUUUGACCAUAGUUCGGGAUGUUUCCAUUGUACACGAUUUUCAAAUCUUGAUGGCAUCACAUUCCCGGUUUAUUAGAGUGAUGUGAAAUGGAUUUGACCAAUCGUGAUGUCCAAACUCAAAAACUUGUCUAUAGUGAGAUUUUAAUAAAUAUGGUGAAGCUUUAUAAUUGGCACGGGUACAAAUGAUUGAAUCGGAAUAUCAAGUUUGCAUAUUUUUUUUUGUCUGUGCAAAUUACAGUGGGUGGGCGUACAUGCAGCACUGUGCAGUGCAAGACAUACGCGGUGGUGGCAUUGAAUUCGCUCUGACACUCCCCACCUACGCCGCCUCGGGCAUUCAAUGCCGCCCUUUUCCCUCCACCUCCUCCGCCGCCGCCGCUCUCACCACUCCCAUCGAGCACUGCGCAGAGCAGACAGCGCACGCACGCGGCCGCCGCUCCGCACUUCGCCGCCGCCGUCCCCCCUCUCUCGCUGCACCGCGGUCGCCGCCGGGGGCAUGGUGCCCGCUCGCCCUCCGCCGUCGCCGACGAGCGCGGCCAGUCCCCGGCCGCGGGAGUAGGAGAUCUGGGAAGCUGCGUCCCCGGUGCCCCAAUGCCCCACGGCGAGCUCGCCCCCGCGGAGUAGGGGAGCAUCGAGGAAGCUCAGGUGCGGUCGUGCGGCACUGACGCUGGUGAGUGCCUGGUGACGAAGGCUUGAAGCAAUCUUUGGUCCAAGGACGCGUGGAUCUUUGGGUACGGAUGAGCCGGUUCCUCUCUUGCUCUCUGCUUGGGUUCUUGAUUCGCCGGCAGGUCAUUAUCCAGGUUGCCAUGUCGCUACUCUAAUCGUCGGUGUUGUUUUCUUCCUGCUAGGUCGGUACCAAAGAAAAGGGGGGAAACCAACAAAUCAGUCGCCUGUUCGAAUGCUGUGCGGUGAGGGUGACUGACUAGCUACUCCACCACCCUCGUUUCUGCUUCCUGGUAGGCACUACCGAGGGGAAAGCUUCUUGUUUCAUCAUCUAUAAUAAGACUCACCUGAUCCCUGUUGGUUCUGAAACGAUUUUUCUUAAUAUAAUAAGACUCAUCUGAUGCCUGUUGGUACUAAGAAAGUUCAAAAAUCUGCAACUCUUGCAGGGAUCUUCUCAGCAUGAGCGCCCGCCCCAAGUUUCAAGAGAUGGGCCAUGUGCUGGUUCUAGCAGUGUGCUUCCUGGUCUUGUUGCCUGGUUGGGCCUGUGGCCUUGGCUCCAUGUCAUCCAUUGCAGUGUCUUAUGGGGAGGACGGUCCAGUGUUUUGCAGCCUUAGCUCCGAUGGCUCCCACCUGGUCUCCUGCUUUGGUGCAGAUGCCUCUGUUCUGUAUGGCGCGCCACCCAACAUCCCUUUCCUUGGCCUUACAGCGGGGGAUGGGUUUGUGUGUGGCCUCUUGCUUGACACCAGGCAGCCAUACUGUUGGGGGAGCAACUCCUAUGUCAAGAGCGGGGUGCCGCAGCCGAUGAUUGAGGGCGCAAAGUACUCUGAGAUCAGUGCAGGGGACAACCACCUCUGUGCACUGCGAGCAGCUGCAGAUGGGAUUCAUGGCGCUAACGAUGGUGCAUCGUUGAUCGACUGCUGGGGAUACAAUAUGACAGCCACACAUGUUCUUGCUGAAGCCGUGUCGACCAUUUCAGCCGGUUCAAUGUUCAAUUGCGGCUUGUUUGUGCGGAACAGGACUGUGUUCUGCUGGGGUGAUGAAACGGUGAGUGGUGUCAUCAGGCUGGCACCAAGGGAUCUGCACUUCCAGUCUAUUGGAGCAGGUGGUUACCAUGUCUGUGGGGUGCUGGAGAAUGAACAGGUUUUCUGCUGGGGCAGGAGCUUGGAAAUGCAGCAGGUGGCACCAUCCAGUGCUAUCGGUGAUGGUGAUGUGAACAUAGUGCCAAUGGAUGCGAUGGUCUCUGUGGUCGGUGGACGGUUCCACGCUUGUGGCAUCAAGAGCCUUGAUCACCAAGUAGCUUGCUGGGGUUUCACACUUCAUAACAGUACAUCACCACCAAAAGGGCUAAAGAUGUAUGUGCUCGUUGCUGGGGACUACUUUACUUGUGGAGUGCCUGCUGAGACAUCACUGAUGCCAAGGUGCUGGGGCAACAGUGGGCCAUUGGCAUUACCAAUGGCAGUACCCCCUGGAAUUUGUGUACCUACUGUAUGCAGCCAUGGGUACUAUGAAUAUGUGAACCACGGUGAAGUUGGCCUUAGCAAGGUGUGUAAGCCUGCGAAUUCUAGACUCUGCUUGCCCUGUAGUACAGGUUGCCCAGAAGACUCGUAUGAGUCAUCUCCUUGCAAUGCGACAGCUGACCGUGUUUGCCAGUUCGAUUGCUUGAGGUGUGUCGCACAAGAGUGCUUGUCAUUCUGCUUAUCACAGAAGCAGACCAAGAGCCGGAAGUUGAUGGCCUUUCAGAUGCGUGUCUUUGUAGCAGAGAUUGUAUUUGCCAUCAUCUUGGUACUCAGCGUAUCAGUAAUCACUUGCCUGUAUGUCCGGCACAAACUUCGACAUUGCCAAUGUUCAAAUAGCGAGCUGAGACUGGCAAAGAGCACAGCGUACUCUUUCCGGAAGGAUAACAUGAGGAUCCAGCCUGACGUGGAGGAUUUGAAGGUCAGGAGAGCUCAGGAAUUCUCCUAUGAAGAGUUAGAGCAAGCAACUGGUGGCUUUUCAGAGGAUUCACAAGUCGGCAAAGGCAGCUUUUCAUGUGUAUUCAAGGGCAUAUUGAGAGAUGGGACAGUGGUCGCUGUGAAGCGUGCAAUAAAAGCAUCAGAUGUGAAGAAGAGCUCAAAGGAGUUCCACAAUGAACUUGACCUCCUCUCCAGGCUCAACCAUGCACAUUUGCUCAACCUGCUUGGUUACUGUGAAGAUGGCAGUGAGAGGCUCUUGGUUUAUGAGUUCAUGGCUCAUGGAUCCCUGUACCAGCAUCUGCAUGGUAACGAUCCAAACUUAAAAAGGCAACUGAAUUGGGCCAGGCGGGUCACCAUUGCUGUUCAGGCUGCUAGAGGAAUCGAGUACUUGCAUGGCUAUGCUUGCCCUCCCGUAAUUCACCGGGACAUCAAGUCGUCAAACAUAUUGAUUGAUGAGGAUCACAAUGCGCGUGUCGCUGACUUCGGUCUAUCUAUAAUGGGUCCUGCAGAUAGCGGUACCCCGCUAUCUGAGCUGCCAGCAGGGACACUAGGCUACCUUGACCCUGAGUACUACCGUCUCCAUUACUUGACUACAAAGUCCGAUGUCUACAGCUUCGGAGUUUUUCUCUUGGAGAUACUAAGUGGCAGGAAAGCGAUUGACAUGCAGUUCGAGGAAGGAAACAUUGUUGAAUGGGCAGUACCACUAAUCAAAGCUGGGGACAUUUUUGCCAUCCUUGAUCCAGUCUUAUCUCCACCCUCCGACCUUGAGGCUCUCAAGAAGAUUGCUUCUGUGGCUUGUAAGUGUGUCAGAAUGCGAGGGAAAGAUCGGCCUUCCAUGGAUAAGGUGACAACAGCUCUGGAGCAUGCUCUUGCUUUGCUGAUGGGCAGUCCGUGCAUCGAGCAGCCCAUUCUACCGACUGAGGUUGUUCUUGGAAGUAGCCGGAUGCACAAGGUAUCACAGAUGUCCUCUAACCACUCUUGCUCAGAGAACGAGCUUGCCGACGGCGAGGAUCAGCGUAUCGAGUACAGGGCGCCAUCCUGGAUAACUUUCCCUAGUGUGACCUCAUCACAGAGGAGGAAAUCAUCUGCAUCGGAAGCUGACAUCACCGUCCGAACGACCACAGAAGGUAGGAAUGCCGGGAGCAGCAUAGGUGAUGGACUGCGGUCACUGGAGGAAGAGAUCAGCCCGGCUUCACCGCAGGAAAACCUGUACUUGCAGCACAACUUCUGAAGAAAUGUCAGGAGCCGCAAGAAUUUAACGCAGUAGCGUUCUGCCAUUGCUGAGCAGCAUUCUAAAUUCAACUUUGUGCUCUGUUGCUAUAUUGAAAUGCAUUACAGUUUUUAUACAUCCUAUAUAGUAGCAGGCCAUUUAAAAACAAGAGAGCUAAUUAGUAGAGUACUGGAAGAAGAAUUUAGCAUCCAGGGGCAUUUCUGUGUAGAUUCAUAUGGCCUUUUCUUUUCUUUUCCUGAUGCUCUUUGUCUGUGGGUGGCUACAGUUGCUGGAUUGUCUUGUCUCCUCUUACAAAAUUGUUUAAUUUACUUAAUCCUCUGGGUCAUCUCUUUGGUUCGCAAUGCACUUUUCGCAGCGAAUUGUGAUGCAAAAUGCUUCAUAAACAUAUGUUCUAUUGGAAGGUUUCUUCAGAUACUAGAUUUGUGAUCAGUAACAGACUAACAGGUUGGUUGGCCCAGUCUUCUCUCCAGAAACAGGUGCAAUGUGAUUCUCAGAGAUCUGCAUCUAGAAUGGCUGCUGCCAUGUUCCAUGAUCUAUUUAUGAUGCAUGAAGACAGGUUUUUCUAACCAAUUAAUGUUCCUGUAACACAAUGAAGACAAGCUUUAUUUAGUUAAACUAGUGGCAUAAUGAUGGGUUUCUUCUUGAAAUAACACUCACCAUCCCCCUUUUUUCUGGUUCAUCCCUAAUUUUUUGCUGCAGAACUUUAGUGUCUGGAGUUACGCAGCUCCUUUUGUAAGUUGGGUGGAAUCAGCGUGCUUUCUGUAUUUUAUCCUUUUCUUGUGAGUUUUAAUUGCUGUGUGGUGGGAAAUCAGUUUUUCUGAAAGGUUUAUCUCACUUUUUUUUAAUUUCAUAGCCGGUGGAAAUAAGCUGUUGCUAUGGUGUAGGGAUAUGCAGAUCAAUGUUAUGAUCGUGCCAAGUUGAACAUAUUUGGGUUGUAAUUUCAUAAGAUAAAUUCCUUUGACGCAGCUUGUACCAUUUAUUUGGGUUCUGCAGAUGAACAAGAUGUUAUCAAAAUUACCACAUAAUUUUUUUCAGACAUUUUAUUUUAAAUUUGACACAAUGAGUAGUACCACAUAAUUUCCCAUUGCUUACAUGAUUUGUUUGAUUUACGGUUCUCAGAAAGUCUAAUUUUAAUUUCUAGGACAUAAUGUAAGUGACCAACAGUUUCAGAUCAACUUAAAUGUAUCCAUCUGCUUCAAGCCUUCAACUGCCAGGUUAAUCUUCCUACUAUGUGAAGACAUAUCUUUGAAUAGCAGUACCUAUGCAUUAACUCUUUUCAAGAUGAGUUUUGUAUAGUUUAUAAUCCUGUCAGUAAAAGCAUCCCUUUGGUACCUUUUCAGGUGUACAAGAAGUGAAGUGUGAACCCAGUGUUCCUUUUCCACGUUUCCAAGUCUGUUUGCCUGCUUCUGUUAAGUGGAAAGGAUGAAAUGAGAUCUCAAAGUAAAUGGGGAGCAUCCAGAAGAAACAGAUACCUGCUGUCUAAAUAGAAAUAGAAUGCCAUUCUGUGGAAAGGGAAAAAAAGAAGCUUGUGCUGUUGCUUUAGUACUUGGCUUCAUGAUCGCCUCAAUAGAAAAUGUUUUAUACGUAUGCAGGUUGCUAUGUUAGGACAUUGAAGAUUUUCAAUAUGAUAAGAUCAAAGCAUCAGCAUCUUCAAGUAAGGCAAUUGUAUCUUUGGGUGAGAACAACUGAUCAGAUCUUUCAGUGUUUUCUUCUAAAUGAUAUAUUGAGCCAAAUGUUCCAUAACCUCUGUGUGUGCAUAUGCUUGCAUUAUAUGGUUCGGAUAAAUAACUAUUAAGGAUCCAAACUAUUAAGUUUAAGGGUGUGUUUAGCCUGUUGUAAUUGUUUUGUCCUUCCGGGAGUCUAUUCUUGUCAUUUGCUGUGGACCAUUCUCUGGCCAUGGUUUACUUGAUCCAGAUGCUAUAGUGAGAACUGAUGAGGCCAUGCUUGUGAAUCUUAUCAAACCUGUAAGUUGCCAGAGGUCUUUACCUGAUUUGGAUGAAUACUUCGUGCACAUUGUUCACAAGUCAAUAAUUACUGUAUUGGAUGUAACCAAAAAAGAAAUGAACUUGGAAGCAUGCAAAUGGAAAUGCAAAUGCCUACACUUAUCACAUCAUAAGCUAUAGCAAAGAUGCCAAACUUAACAUUGAUUGAAACAGACCAUUGCUUUAGAGUCAAGUGGCCUAGAAGGCGGAACUUGCAAGAAAUUUCUCAUAUCUAUGUUUCAUACCAUACUUUUUGUAAUUUUAUCAGGUUGCAUUCUAUCAGAGAAUAGCUCAGUUCAUAAAAGAAGCUUCUAAAUUUGCCUUGAACACUGGAGGGGAUAUUCCAGAUUCUGAAUGAGCUGCUUCCUCUGAUUAUAUCCUUCAUAGUUGAAAUGUAGACACAAUUCUUUAUCAUAGCUAUUUUUUCUUAACUGAACAGGUCGUCUCACGAGUCAUGAGUAUUGCUUGGAAGAUACUCAUGGAAUCUCUGUGGACACUCAUGUGCAUCGUAUUUCUAACCGUCUUGGGUGGGUUUUCCGAGAAGGAAUGAAACAGGUAAUUUUAGUUUGCUGUUGUCUGUUUGCUGAGAAAACCACAGAACCAUCCAUAAUUUAUUUAGGUAACUCGCUCCUUAUGUUGCCAUCCAUUACUGUGCACAGGAAAAUACCAAACCGGAACAAACAAGAAUAUCAGCAGGACAGAAAAGUACAUUUGGAUUUGAGCAGAUUGUGUACUCCACUACGGCCCAAAUGCAGCAUCUAUGGCAUCAAUUCCCUUUGCCAUUGAGCUUUUAAGGAAUCAUCCGGUCCAAAUCCAAAGCAAAUGAAAACAUGGUCUCUACAAAAAGUUUGGCGAUGAUAUCGCAUUGAAGGGAGAAAGCACGUAUUUUGGGUUGUGUAAUUGUGUUCUGGUGGUAGAUAUUAUUGGGUUUUCUUUGGUUGAUCUAUGAUCGUGUGAUCACCUUGUGCCAGAACCACUGGAAAAUCAUGCAUCGUUUUGUAUACAUAUAAUUGUAAUUUAUUCAAGAUGAUGGAUAGACACUAUCAGUUACACUGUAAAGUAUAAAAUGCUUAUAUGCAAACGCAAGGGUUGGUUCCGGAUCUGGAUCUAAUCCCAGAAUUUUGUUGACGUGGUUAUCAGUGGCUAUUUCUUGAGCUGCAGAUGCAGUUCCUUUGUGGAGGAAAUAUGAUGCGGAUUAGCGAGAUAACAAUGAUGCAGAUGGAGCUGACCUGAAGGGGAGAUGAUAGUAGUGAGACGGAGAAAGAUUCACAGGAAGAUACAUGCACAAAAAGAGGAUCCAGUGCAAACCGGGAGAAUGCUUCAGCAGUUUGCACCGGUCAAGUUACAUGUACUACGUUAUCUUCUUAAGACAGAUUCACCACAUUGCUUCAUGAAAAGCGCAUCAUGUUUCAUCUCGAAGAGCUUCAGAUGAAGCCUGGUCAGCUUCCGCAUGACGAAGCUCUCGUCAAGCAGCGCGUUGCUAUCCAAGCAGGGCACAUAACAAAGAUGCAGAGCACCAAAACAUAUCACAACACAGGACAAGGCCACAUUCAACGUAAGCAUCGCAAGAGAAACUUAUGCCUCGUGAUCAGGAUCAUCACAACAAGGCAAACACACCACAAAACUGGGGCAUGCUGAAGCGUCUCUUGCAAUGACUUCAAGCCACAUGGGACAUAGCUAUCAACCACGAAGCUUCAGCCAGCAGCAGCAGAGAACCAUUCAAAUACCGAUGCCAGUUGAAACACAAAAUGAACCAACACGGGAAUUACUUAAUAGGCUGGUAGAUAUUAGCAGCAAACAAAGCUCCAUAACAGGUCCACAAAACGACAGAUUUGUCUCAGUGCAAAACUCUCGAUAUAACUAGAACAACGAUAACAGGCCUACUGAAGCGCAGGUUUCCAAGACAAGCCAUUCAACAGACGAUGAGCAGCAACACCAUGGCUAGGAGACAUCUCUCCAUGAGGCUAUCGCAUCUGAAGAUAUGCAUACAAGCAUGCCAUUACCACCACCAUCCAUCUCCAUCAGCUUACUUAGAUCUCUGCCUCAUCUUUCGGCGCUUCCUCUUCAGCCUCCUCAUGCGCUUCUUCUUCCACUGAAAGUUGAUACAAAUGAGAAUGCAUCAGCGAACAAAGCAUCGGCUAAAGACAGGAAACUAAUAGCACGCACAGCAGAGGAAACAAUACACUAAGUAACAGCAAAAGAAUGUAAUAACAGGAUAAUUCUAACACAGGACGAAUAGCAUGUUAAUAAUGGACAAACAAUAUUCAAGGCAAUUUGAAAUGGUUCAUUGUCUAACAGAAAAUUUGGAGAACUCUCCACAUGCAAGAAACAUAAGGUCCUAGCUGCUUGUUAAUGUUACAUGCUUCUUGCUUGUGUCACUACGUUACUAACAAAGUGGAAAAAGCUAACAAAUCCAAGUAGGUGAAGGUAAACAACAAAUAAAUUACCAGGUGUAAGUAGUAAUGGGAUCAGGCUUGACUACUGCUAAACACAUACUAGAAGCUUAUUCAAGGCAGUACAACAGGAAUGAAAUGCUACCCACAAUUUUACAGAAGUAUCACAUCAACAGGAAGAAAAACCCUAGUUCAUACACCACUGGAAAAGUCUACGCAUAAACAUACUGUUGGAAGACAUUCACAUAAUUCCAGCGUCAGAUCCAAUCUUAUGCAAGCAAAUUAUGUAACAACAUACCAAAUCUUGGAUCAUACCCAGCUUUAUAAAGAUUUAACUUAUCAAUCAGAUGCUGCAAAACAAGUGGUACAAUUCUUAACUAAACUGCACAAAGCAAAAUACCACACUCCACAGGGCUCAUAUCAAGUGUAUGCGAUAAAGAAACCUUCACCGUGGCAGGGGGGGAAGCCCUACUACCAGGCGGCGGAGCACCACGCGCGCGCGAGCUACCCCUCCCGACCGCAGCGGGCAGGACGACGCGGAACGGGACCGUGGAGCACGAGAUACCAAGCCCGCGCGACAAGAUCGAUCUCAGCUCGCUCGGCUCGGCUCAGCUCAUGUCAAACCAGAAAGGCCCUGACUCGCACAAGGCGGCACCUCGCAGCCCAUGGAACGAUCCCAAACCGUUCGUCCCGCAGCCACAGGUAGGGGAGCACACGCACAGCGAGGCAGAUCCGCCGUCCCGGCGAGGGCUUCCCCCGGAAUUACGCCACUCGAGCCUCUCUCUUUGUAAUCACAGCCCCAGGACACAAAAGCACGAAUCGAGCGGAGCAAGCACUAGUCAUGACAAGGAAUUGCUAAGCCACACGGAUCUAAUCAUCUAAGCAAUGAGCUAGACAGGAGGGUGAGAAGAGGAGAGUGGAGGAUACCUUGGCCCUCAUGGUCGCCUCCUCGCGGUCUCUCCUCGGCGCGUCUCCUCCUGCGGCGUCGGCGGCGGGGUUGCGAUGGGGAGAGGGGAAUGGGAGACGGCGGCGGCUGAUGGUAUAUAUAGGUGGGGAGGGAAGCGGAACCCUAGGAGUGAUCAGGCGGCUUCGAGGACGUGGGCUUGGGCCUUAGGUGGGCCGUGUUUCUCGGAAGGGAGGCAAAAUAUGAGCCCGACGGAGGCCAUAAAACAAUAUUGCUUCAAAAUUUGUCCACCCGAAUUUGGGAAAAUAGGGCACAUUCAACCGAAUUUUCCAAAUUCAUGCGGUGAUCCCUUCCAAACCUACCUAUACAACUGUAAUGUCUUUAAAUUAGGUUAGCAAAAUGGGAUUUGUAGCCCCUAUUUUCUCCACUAACGCGAGAAUUUCAUCAUUUUCCAUAUGAUGUUUCUCUCCAACUGUUUUUUUUUUGUUUUUUGCGAAUUUUCUACAUUCUGAACAUAACCUUUGUCAUAUCAUCCUCCUUUUGCAGCUGCUCACAUAAUAUCACCCCCUACUAUCAACGUGAAUGAUUUGUUUGGUUCGCAAUUUUUAUUUUUACACAAUGUGUUUACUAGUAGAACCAACUAAAUGGAUUAAAUUCAAAUUUAUGAUCAGAUGUUCCGUCCCAGUUCUUAACCGAACAUUCACGGACAUGUCAUUUCAUCUCAAUGCAAAAGUUGGCUAGUUCAUGUAGUCAAUCAGAGGAAUUAACCAUCAUGACCACCAAAAUGCACUUACAAUCAAUCAGGGAGGGCAAAUCAAGAUAUAAAAGAUGCAAAUUAAUAUCAUAAUUCUAUCCCAGCUUGAAUUAAGAAAUAAAUGUGACAACAGUCAUGGUAGAACAAGGGAAAGAUGGCGCACGAAACCCAGAUGGUUUCCCCACACUUUGUGCUGCAGCUUUGUUUUUUUGGUUUUUUUCAUUUUCUUUACUAUGGCGGCCGCGAUUCUUCUUCCUGGAGGAAAGUAAGGGAAAGGGGGAUUUACAGGUGCCAGUCAACCAUCCAUGGGGAUACAUUGCCUUGGUGAUUAUCAUUUGGUGCUAUUCCCGUUGCACUGGUGAAUGAAACCAUUGCCAUGGGUGUUGCCGUUUGCGUGGAUCCCAUUGCUGCUGCAGCUGCUGCUCCCAACAUCCUUGCGCUUCAGACUGGCCUUCUUUGCACCCCAUAUACGAAUGGUGUGAUCGUCGCUCGCUGAUGCGAGCAUGUGGGGAUUUGCAGGAUUCCAGCUUACACAGUUGACUGUACCUGAAUGACCAGCCAGAGUCUCAAUGAGAUCCCCGGUGGCUCUAUGCCAUAUGUAGACCUGAAAACAAUAUUACUUCAGGGCCAUUUUCUGGUGAAGAGAAAACAUGCAAUGAACCGCAUGGCUGGACCAACCAAUUGCUUAGACAUUGAAAAUGUCAAAUCUUCUGUUUCCCAUUACAACUUUAAGAUACAACAAAUUUUUAGUUUCUAUUUUAAACUGAAAUGCAAGGCAGCAUAAUUUCUACUGCCUACCGGAAGGAUGGAUGUCAUCACUACAUGCCUCCAUUAUACCCAUUAAAGUACUAAUUCAUCAGAAAAGGCAUUUCAGUCAAAAGAAAAAGAUAAUUCCAACAUAUCUCUAUCAUUCAAAUGGCAUUUCCUACCCUAAAAAAAAAUCAGCAGCAUGAUUCAAGUCAUGAGACAUGUGCACAUACAGAUAUACACAUGCCUAUUGAAUUAUAACCAAUCUGAAGAAUAGGCCUAGACAUAAGUGCCGAUCGCAACAGUGUAUGAGUUAACCAAAGAUUUCUGGAACAUGUUUGAAUGUUUUAUAUCAUAAAAAAAGAAUAACCAAUGCAUUGAGGAUGGUUGAAAUGACAAACAUAUCCUCCACAUUCUUGAUUUAGAUUUGACCAUCAGACGACAAAUAUAAUUAUCUACAAUGGCAUUUGUCUGGGAGUUGUGCAAAUAAUAUAAGUGGCACACAAAGACAAAAAAAUUUAAAGUGCCCCCAUAAUAUAAUAGUUCUACAGCCAUAGGUGGUCACAAGGCAAUCAUCAUACCUGUGAAUCUUCACUCCCACUAGCAAUGAACGCCUGCUCAGAUCCGCCAAAACAAGACCUUAUCACAAACCGGCUGCGCUUAUGGCCACUGUACCGACUGACUCGAAUCGGACCAUUUCGUAUGUUCCACAAAUGAAUCACCUCGUUUACAAGAUUUACAAGCAAGAAAUCACCAUCUUCAGAUAGAGAAAAUGAAGUAAUUGUGUGAUCCUCUUCAAUUAGCCUCUCCUGCUUUGUCUCCCUAUCAAGUAGAAGAAUUGUGUUCUCCCUAUUCAUGCUUAUUAUAACCUUUCCAUCUUUUCCUACAGUAAGAUCGGGCGUUUUUGUUGAUCUCUGCCCUUUCCAGCAAUCUACUUCCGUACCAUCUAAAUCCCAAAUGCAAAAGUGUUGAUCGGCUAGACCAGACAAUAUUUGCUUUCCAUCUGGAAACCAAGCACAUGAUAUUAAACCAAUGCCGGGUUUCUCAUAAACAUGAAGACAUUUGCCAGAUUUAACAUCCCAGCGUCGGAUGGUUUCUUCCACUCCACACGUGAGAAGCUGACAAUCAUCAGGGCUCCAUGCAACCAUCAUCACCGACUUCUCAUGACCAUUCAAUGUGUGCUUCAGUAAUAGCUCUCCAUCUUCAUCAACCUACGAAUGUAAAGAUUACUGCAUGAAAAGACAACUGAAAAAAAAAGGGAAAACACCCUUUUCAAUCCACAAAUAACUAGAUGUUCAUAAAGCUGUAGCGUAUGGUACAAUAAGGGACCACCUGAGCUUUGAAGAUGACAUGCUGAAAAUCCUAUAGCUAGAAAAAUAUAUAUUUUAAAUUUUUGUAAUUAAAGGCUAUGUUGUUGUUGCAAUUAAGUAAUAUAAAGCACUCAACCAUAAAAAAACACACUCAGAUCCACUAGUCAAACUGCACUUUGUGGGCAUAAGGACCAACUUUCAUGGCCGCGUAAUUGUAAGAUGGUAUGUAAUGUUAACAGGGGAAACAUGGUGACACACACUUUCAUGAUCAAUAACAACAUCGAGAAGAGGCAGGAUGCAAGCUAGGGAACAAACUUGGUAAAUAUCUACACUUAAGUUCCUUUGUUACAGAAGCUAACAAGAUGUAAGUAGUAGGCUUGAAGGAAAAAGGUGAUAUGAAAUGGCAAACUUCUGUCUUCUUCUCGAAAAUAACCAAGGAUUUCAAAACUCAAACUUUUUUAAAGACAUAAAGAGCAGCGAAUGAAAAGCAUUAGUAAGACUGGAAAAGUUCAGUUCUUGACAUGAGGUGCAAAAUAAGAAACUAAGGAGUAGGCCACCCAAUUUGUCCACAGACCAUGAGAAAAGAAUACGUUAAAAAAAUAGAUUCACAAGUUUACCUCCCAUAUCAUUGCGGAUUUAUCAUUUGAUGCUGAGGCUAAAUACUUCCCAUUGUUUGAAAAUUGGAUAAACCACACCUCAUUAUGAUGCGCAUGCAAAACCUGCUAUAGAAUUUUGGAUUAGAAUCAUCGAACUAUAGGAUAUGCAGCUAGUAGAAAAAGAUUAAUCUUGGUAACCAAAUUAUCUAACUUCAACAAUAGUUUCAAGUGAAAAUAUAAGUAUGACACAGUGCGAGUUGCAUGUUUCUAUUUACUUUUUACUUGGGGUGAAAGAUCAGAUCCUUAACAUGAUGGAGCAAGCUAGAAGAAAGCUUAAGAGGUCUUCAUGCUAUAAAGGAUCAUGCCUUCAGAUUUGCAAACUACUACAUCAAAGUUGGGAAUUCCAUUGCUUUCUUUCAAAUUGCCAUACUUCAUAAUCCAAAAUCUAGAUGAUGGCAGUGAAAUACAAUUAUACAGAAGAGAAAAGAACCAUCGAGCGGUGUUUUAAAUAAUGUACAAUGACGAAUCAAGACAGUACAUGAGUGGCUGAGCAGCAGACACAGCACUGGUGCUUAUGUAGGAGAAUUAGCGCUCCAAGUAAACACUGAAGCAAGCACAAGCAUUAGUUUUUUACCUGUAGCGUGCGAGAUGGUAUCUGAUCUUUCCCACAGUGAUGAUCAAUGUAGAGUGAUAACCCAUCUACAGAAUUAUGGAAAUAGCAAGCAUCUCGUUGCACAGUAAGUGCUUGCUCAACUAAAUUCUCUAACCUCCUCUCUGGUACCAUAACUGUUGGAGGGAGCACCUUUUGCAGUUCCUCUAGGAGCUUCAACCGUGAAGUAGAAGAAUCAAUGCCAAGCUUUGAAAAACCAACGAACAAUUGUUGUGGAGAACAAGAGAUCAUACAGCUCGACAAUUCGUGCACUCUUUUCCUAUUAACACCAAGGGGUGUGAUUUCACUUCGUAAUGUCUUCAUAGCACCCAUGACAUUGUCAUCUCUCAGAAGUUCAAAGAAUUUCUGCUCCAAUAUCAAAAAUGCAGCAGAUUUCACAAUGUUCUCAUCGAGUAGGCCAAUCUUAUUCAAGGUAACCACUGCAUUAUCCCAAUUCCCAUCAAUCACCUGCUCUCUGAAAAGAUUCACCAUAGGGUUAUGCAAAGUUAUCCCUGAUUCUUCCUCCAGAACUGCUCCGCUUUUUUCAUAUCCAAGACUAUACAGAGUUUUUGUGAUUAUCCUGACAAACUCCUCUUUCUUAAUAACACCCUUAGAACCAACCAUAACUUCUUUCCCUUGGGAAGGCAAAGGUCUAGCCAUUGUACUUCCCAAAGGAUUGGCAGAUUUCGAAAACGAGAAACAAUCUGGCAAGCUUGCAGAUUCUACUGAGGAUGCUCUUGCGCGUUUUGAGGGUGGUUCAUCAUCUUCAAAACCUCCCAUGAAAUGCCAAAGUCAGCCCAUAUAUUUUUCACUUCAGGGAAGGUGAUGUUAUUCAAGCACCAAGUAAAAUAUUCCAAUGAGUUACUAAAACAGAUGGAGGUUCCUGCAGAGAAGCAUCAAUUAAAAAGUGAGUCACUAAUCAUCAAACAAGGCCAAGAUUCUAGCUUAACCUUUGUUUCAGAAUUCAGUGCAAAACCACCAGAAAUUUUUCAUUACACAAAAACUAACAAGAAAUAAUGCAAGGAACACAUUGCAGCGGGAACAAAGUGACAAACCAAUCCUAUCCUCCAUACCACACGUGACAAGGGCCAUCUAAAAGCUAAUACUAUAUUAGCACUCAUAUUAGUUGGCCCUGUGAACAAAAAUUGAACAUUGUGAACAAAAAAUAAUUAGUUGGCCCUGUUAAAAAUUCCUUCCUCGGUUCUGACUGUAUAGCACUCCACUCCAUAAAGAGGAGAAAAAACUCAUUUGCUACGCAGCAAAGGACACCAUGGUCAUUAACCUUCGUAUCAGAAGGUAGUAAGAUACUCUUUAUUGUCAAUCUUAGAUUUAUCCAAUUACUUAGCAGCGCAUCCCACAGAAUAAUCAAAAGCAUGACACAGUUAGGCUGCUCAGAUCAAAGAAAAGCCAUAACAGCGCUAGCUUGUGCCAGGCUUUACUGAAUUAAAAGAGCAUUGCUGCAAUGCAGGAAACCAAUUGUCGUUGGAGAAACCAACAAGAUUCUUCGCUACUACUUGAACCGAAAAUUGACAAGAUGCUCUGCUUUAGUCUAGCAAAACAUACUAAAAGGAAUGCGCAUACUGAACGAUUGACAUACCAAGGAGUAUCAGCCAACCUUCCAAGCAGACAAAAGCUCUACACCUAAUCUACUUGCACAGCUACAGAGGGUAAAAUUGCCGCAAACACAUUCGACAUAUGUAAGCAUAAGUUGCAGUUAGGUUGUAAUUUCAGUCCAAACAACAAGUAUACUGCUAGAGUCACAUGUUUGGGUGAUCCAAAAGUUCUCCAGCAAACCACUAACUCCUAAUUCUUGUCCAUAUCAGUACAAGCUGAGGCACACAACCUCUACUGCCACGCAACAUCAGCAAUCCUCUUGCCCUCGCAAUGCUACUUUUUCCACACAGCAUUCCUUCCAACCUCCCAAACAUUCCCCACGCACAGAGCACGCAUCCCUUCCCAGCCAAAAUCAUACCGAAUGGAUAAGCACGGAGUCAUUAACGCCAACAGGUAGAUUCCCACCUGCAAUCCACUCCUACAAUUAUUAGUUCGUUACCGCUUAAUUAAUCACCAUGAACUAGCGCCCCACUCACACCCCUCCGCAAUCUACUCCGCGCAUCCGACAAGGGGGCUCAGCAAGCGGCGCCCCGACGCGAACCGAUCAUCGAAUCCCACCCACCCAACCCCGAGUUCUCAAGCAAGUUCGUCUGUUCAGCGCACCUAGACGCGCCGACGCGGCGCACCCGACACCGGCAACCGGCGCACGCGAGCGCCCAAACCCACACCCAACACGGCAGGCACGGAGCAGCGAGGGUUAGCGAUCGGAGGGGUGCCUGACCUCCAGCCCGGGACCCCGAUCCCCGCCGAUUCGCCGGGAAACGCCGAGAGGAGCCCCGAAUCGGCGCCGAAUCGCGCGGAAUCUCCGUGGAAUCGCCCGCCCCGGCGGAGAGGAAGGCGGCCCAGCGGACGGAUUGGGUGGGGAAAGCGGCGAGAGGGAGGCGAGGCGAGGAGAGAGAGAGGGAGAGAGGUGGGGAGGGGGAGGAGAGGGGUGGUGGUGUUUGGCUUGGGGGAGAGGGGAACCGACUGAAUAGAAAAGGGCAGGAGGGGAUGCAGAGAGGGACACACCACACCGGCACAGGCACAGCACAAGGAGAGAGAGAAGGGGGGUAGACUAGAGAGAGAGAGUACCUUCCUUGUGGAUCUCUCUCUCACUCUAAUUCAUCACAGCUUUUUUUUUCCCUCUCUGAUCUCCAUCGUCUCUUGGAGCGCUUGGUGGUGUUUCUUGUUUAGGUGUAGCCUUUUGAGUUGCAAAUUUGCAAUUCAGAAGAAGGGAUUCACGAGAAUUAAAAUGGUGGUAUCUUAGGGAUAGAGUACACGGUGGCUUUCCGUGUCUAGAGGAUAGAGUGUACGAAGGUGUUUCGAAAAAAUGUUAGGAGUAAGUGAUCGAAGGGAUGGCACCUGGCGUGUUCGGAGAACUAGGGCUGCGCUGCUGUCUUCGUGGUCUCUGUGGUAAUUUGGCAAUUAGACGCUAAAGUUGUAGUACGUGUUUAGGAAAAAGAUGUGACUCGAGUUUGAUCCACGCCUACCCACAUGAUAUAACACUUUAUCCUCGAUAAGAUUUGUUGGUAUGCUAAUUUUGAUAGGUCAUAUGACUAUUUGCUAUUUUAAGCAUAGGUUAUAUAAUGGAUAAUGGGAAUUUUAAAGCUUGUAGGCGUUUUGCUACUUUUAGCUUCUCGCUUAGCUGAAACUCCAUCACUUAUAUGGUGUUUAGAGCUAGAGCUUCUGAAAUGGCACGUUCAUUAUACCAUAUAAAAAAGAACGUGUCAUAUGCUUAUCAGUUCUCUCUUGCAAAAAGUUUAAACAUUAAAUAUAUACUAUCUUGAAUAUAUCUUAAUCGAUGCCUUUCCCUAAUGUGUUCCUACUUCCUUUUUUUGCUGAUAGGUAGGCCAGUUAACAUUUUGGAUGUAACAAAAUAAACCUAGCUAUUGUGUCAAAUUCUUGUCAUGUAAUGGUGUUUGGUCCGUGACCUGUUAAGACAAAAGCAAUGCAGCUAUUUGUUGGCCCCAACAUUAUCAUUGGUUGGUGAAUUGGUAUGGGCGGUUACAAAUAAAGUCCUUUCUCCUUAGGAAUGGCAAUUUAGCUUUAAACCAAAUAUAGUAGAUUUCAUGUACCAACAGAAUUUCCACAUGGCACAUGAGGAGUUAUAUUCAAAUUGAAACGGCUAUUUGGAUGGAUCACUGCCAAUAGAAUAAAAAAAAGACGAGACAUUAUGUGAUGUAACUGAAAAUGUCGUGCAAUCAUCAUUUUUUGUCCCUUUCGCUCCUGUAGUAAGCAUAGGGAAUUUUGGUAAGAGUUCUUCUGUAGAUGAAAUUUGGCAGUCUCCUUUUAUGCUCAUUAAAUUCCAGUUAAAACUGCAAGGUGAUUCUAAUCUCAAGUCGAUCAACUGAGUUGACUUUGCCAGUGAUAUUUUUGAGAGGAUAUUCCUAGUUGAUAUUACGGCUUAUUUGCAUUUUGGGCUACAACGAGCAAAACGGAGUUGGCCCGGCCCACAAUAUAACCACACAGUAGCACUUCUCCAAAUCUCCAGUGCGGCAGUUGACCCGUAUAUGGAAGCUGGACUUAUGUGUCAUUUUUCUGUUUAAAGAAAAAGAGGAAGUCUCCGUCAAAAGAAGGCGUAAUGUUACUUUGCUUUGAUGCUUUCUAUCAUAUCUGGACAAUAUCUUCCCAGGUAAAAUAUAGUAGUAAAACAGUAAGCAGAAAAAGCUCAAUUAGAGGGAAUUAUUCCAUUAGCAUGAGCAAAACUGAUGUUAAAGAUGUAAGGCAUUAGAGAAUAAUUUCACAGGAAGAGAAAAAUUCAUGAGCAUAAAAAGAAGAAUUUACUUAAGGAAAAAGUAAAAGGAACAAGACGCACUAGAUCGGAGCCCAUUUCAAUAAUUAUAGGAUAAGAAACAACGUUUUCUCUUCGAAAAUACCUGGAAUAAAAUAAAACGUGAUCUCAAAAGGUGUGGAAAAAAAAGGUCAUCAUGGCCAUGCAUCAUUGUUCGCUCCCUGCAACGAAGCUAGAGAUGCUAUUCAGAGAAAAAUAACCAUCUACUCCCUCCGUCCCGAUUUAACUGUCGCUUGGGAAUCGGGAUUGUGAGGGAAACACAGUUCCCGAGCGACAGUUAAUAGGGGACAGAGGGAGUAUGUAUUUAUUUGGAGCAAAGCGUGGAGAUGCAUGCUAUAACUGGGGAAGGAAAUUGUUUUACAUGAUUACAUCAUUACUUGUGGGUUAUAAAAAUUUAUAAUCACUGCCCUUCCAUCCAUGUGCCAUUGAAGGCUACCACAUGGGGACGGGGGCUUUAGCCCCGGUUGUAAAGACCAACCGGGACUAAAUCCCCCCUUUAGUCCCGGUUGUAAUAGCUACUGGGCUGAAAAAAUCUAAUGGGGCGUUUUGUCUCAGUUGCAAACACCAACCGGGACUAAAGGCCCCCAUUUAGUCCCAGUUAGUAAUUCCAACUGAGACUAAACCGGUUGGUAAUUCCAAUCGGGACUAAAGGAGAGGGGCCUUUAGUCCUGGUUGGUAUUUUCAACCGGGACAAAACAUCCCGUUUCACCGGUGGCCAGUAGCGCUGGCCCCUUAUCUUCUCGCGCAUCAUUUCUCUUCUAAUUCCUAUCUUCUCUCCUCCUCGGGCAGGCAUUUCUCUCUUCUAAUUCCUAUCUCCUCCUCGUGCAGGCAUUUCUCCUGGAGAGUAGUGGCGGGCGAGCGGCGACGGGUUGGCACGGUCGGGCGGGCACAGGCCGCGACGGCAACAGGCGAGUGCUGGCCUCUUUUUUUUUUGAAACCUUUUAGUUUUAGUUACAGGUGAAUGAUCCGGGACUAAAGGACCCCUUUUGUCUUGAAAAUUUAGUUCCGGUUAGAUUUUCGGGAUAUAUAGUCCUAUCCAACAGGACUAAUGCCGUUUUUCAGUAGUGGAUUUUGCAUCAAUUUUACCAUGAUCUCUUAUCCACUGAGAUUUCCAAUCACUCGAUCAGUGUAGCCAGAUUAGAUUCUUCAUGACAAUCCUAUUUGUGUAUAGUGUACAGAUCUGGUAACCUAUUGAAUUGCUACCGUGCAUGGGUUAGCAUAUAUGCACUUUAGUAUGGAGCAUACGAGUCCAUUCAGAGCCAUAGUGAAACAUGCAAGUUGUCACCUGUCAGAAAACAAAAGAUGAAGAACCAUACCGAAACUUGCGGGGAACAACCAAGAGCUCAAAUCUACGAGUACGUUAUAAUAAACUGGGAAGAGGAUGAAUAAAUUGCCAUUCUAACCACCCAUAAGUCUGACAUGGACGGGCACUUUCGAUCAAGGAACUUUGCAAUGGCACGUCGAGAGAAAUCAUGGUUUCACGUUCUUCACAGAGCUCGGACAUCGACAUAUAGUCACAUAAUCCAAUAUAAACACUUGGACAUUACUCUUCAUUCUAAAUAUGAAAAAAAUCAUAACAAAAAUACACUGAUACCAUUGUUUUCUAAAAUUCCAAUACAUUUAUAUAUCUCUAAUAAUCAUUUUUUCCAUCACUCUAAAAUCUCUCUAAUAAUAAAGUUAAAUUUGAUCACACGCGUUCUUAUAAUAAAAUAAAACAAUGCUGAAAAGUCACACCUACUAGAGUGGAAAUAUUUCGUGCUAUCACUAUCCAAGUAACCAGUGGGGAGAUUUGGCUGAUAAUUAAAAAGAGGCAACCAUUAAAAUCCAAUCCACAUAUUCCGGUUGCUUCCAUCGCAUUGCAUACAUGUGUCUGGAUUUGGUGGCCGGUUCAUGUUCAGAAUCCUACAUGACCAAAAAGCAAAAAACUGAGCUGAAACUGAAAGGGCAUUGCUCACCAAACUUGCAAUUUGCAAACAUGGAGACGUGAACGUGAGAUGGAGAGCUCAAAUCCCAGAGCCCUGGCUCAGGCCGUCUCCAGGAAUUGGAGGCCCGUGUGUUGAAUGCAGAAUGUGGUCCUUCAAUAUUAAAAAAUAUAUUCAAUAUAACUAAGGCACAUUUUCAGCCUAUGUCAUUUCACACAAUAUUUAGAAAUACUUCAAAUAUUAAUGCUAAAAAAUACAUACAGUACUAACCUCAUGUUCGACUAAAAAGCAUCAUCCGUCUAGUAUUUCUUGAAAUGAAAUCUUCAAUUAUGUCUUCAUAGUUAAUCUUCUCCAAGACAUCAUUUUCAAGUGCUAUUGUUGCCAAUCCAUUAAGUCUUUCUUGUGUCAUAGUAGAACGCAAAUAGGAUUUCAACAACUUGAGUUUAGAAAAGCUCCUUUCUGCAGAUGCGACGGUCACAGGAAUGGUUAACAAAAUUCUAUAUGCAAUAAGGGCAUUGGGAUAAAAGGGGCGCUUCUUCAAAAACUUCAGGAUAUCAAGAGAACCCAUAGAUUCUUUAAUUAAAUCUUGGAUGCCAAUUAAUUCUGCAAACAAUUCUUAACCAUCAAUAUCUUUAUGUUCUCCACUCUUAAGUGGGUUCUCAAGAUUGACACAAUUAGCCAUCAAACUAUUAUCAUCCAAGGAUCGCAGCCUAUCUAAAGUAAACAAGAAACCAAAAAUCUUUUCAUACCCUUGAUAUUGUUCAAAUCUCUUGGUGAGUGAAACUAUAGCUUGAUCAAUAACAUAUAUAAAAUAAUUGACCCGAAAUGACUCCUCUUCAGAUUGUGAAACACUUGAUGCAUCAUCUGCAGCCUCAUCAAAAUGUCUUUUUCUUUUGAUUUUGCGCUUGGGAGUGAACUCUAGGUGAAUAUCCAUCUCCAUUGCAAUUUCUUUUGUGGCUUCCAAUGCUUUCAAAAAGCCAGUUUCUUUAUACUUCUUAAAAAAGCUAAUCAAUCCCUGUACAGACUCAAUUGCAAUGUCAAUAAGCAUAUCUUUUGAUUGUAGAUGUUUGCUGAUCAAAUUAACAGCAGAUAAUAUUUCAAACCAGAUGAUUAUUGCCACUGAAAACUCAAAGCUACCAAGUUCAUUUUCCGCUAGCGAUUUAGCUUCACUACUUCUUAGUGGGUCAUCAUCAGUUUCAGCCACAUGUAGUAAAGCCUCUCUUAUUUCUAGGAUCUGAAAUCUUAUAGCUUUACCACUUUCAAGACGACUCUCCCAAUGAGUAAGUGUCAAUCCGGAUAUGUUAUCUUUUAAAAUUUUCCACCUUUUUGUAGAAUUAGCAAAUGUUGUAUAGAUGCGCUGGAUAACUCCAAAAAAUUCUAUUCCUUUCCGACAAGACUUUGCCAUAUCACAAAGUGUCAAAUUCAGACUAUGACAACCACAAGCUGAAUAAAAAGCUCUUGGAUUUCUAUCCAAUACUUUCUUCUGUACCCCUAUAUUUUUCCCUUUCAUAUUUGACCCAUUAUUGUAUCCCUGUCCUCUCAAAUUGUCUACAUCAAGAUCAAGACUUUUCAAUUUCUCUAAUAGAGCAUCAAAUAAUCCUUGCCGGGUAUCAUUCACAUCCAAAAAACCUAAGAAGGAUUCUUCAAUGCAAACAAAACCUGAAGAUGUAUCAACAUACCUUAUUAUCAAAGACAUAUGCUAUUGGUGGCUUGCAUCAGGAGUACAAUCAAGUAUAACUGAGAAAUACUUUGCUUCUUUUACCUUGCAACAAUUACAGAUCUAAUUGCAGAAGCUAACAAAUUUAUUAACUCAUUUUGGAUGGAAGGAUCAAGAUAGCUGUGGCGGAACCACCUCGGAUUAACUCAACUAAAGCACAGUUACGUCGCUUAAGACGCGACACUCAUGCCUUAAUCGAGUUAACUCAAGGUGCCGUCGGAUUUCCUCCGAUUUAACCACUUAACAGGACCGAGUUAGCAUGACCCACACGAAGGUGAGUGGUUCCAGAGAAUACAACAGGUCCGCCAUUAGAUUAAUAAGUUGUUACACACUUGGUUGUAAAUCAGAGUUUAACAAGUUCUGAAGAAAAUAGACAAAAGGUAAAACAAGCGGAAGCUAUUCGUCGGGGUCGGACGUCCCUGGUGAGACCAGUCAGGACAUCAAUGAUCCCAUUCCCCGCCGUCCAAGGAGGGAUCCCACUCGACCGUCCAACCCGGAGGGAGCUGGGGCGACCAAGAGCCAACAGGAGCAAACUCAGGAGCUUCGACUUCACCUGAAAGAGAGCCACAAACAAGGCUGAGCUGCUAAGCUCAACAAGACUUAACCGAUCGGGGGAGGACUACUCCACCAACGUCUAGACAUGCAAGGCUCUUUGGCUGAGGGGUUUGUGUUGCCAAAAGCGACUACAGUGGGUCCUUACUUUCGAUAUUUUAGCUCAGAUUCUAAGUUCAUUAACAAGUCUACAUUUGCAACUUACUCUAAGCAAACAUAAAUCCAUAUUUAUGUAUAAGCUCAUCAACAAGACCAUAUCAUCAUCAGACUCUUUCAUUACUCAGUGUAGCAUAGCGAUCAAACAGUCUCAAACUGUGAGAGGCAGACGAAUCGAUUCGAGUUUCUUAACCAUGCAUGGCGAACCUAAUCUCACGACAUCCGCGCACCACCAGGGUCGCUUCCUAUGUCAGCCGUCCCCAUCAAUUCCCAGGCACGUGUCAGGUCCAAACUUCCCUUGGCAUGCAAUGCUCCACAGUACCGGCCUCUACCGUACUGUGACCGCACUUGCACCUACAUGAUGCACCAUGGGAACCUUGUUCCAGGGAUAGCAGGGGUAUAAGCCACGCCCUAGUUCAAUCAGGUACUAGGCUUUCCCAUCCCAUACUAGGUAUGAGAUUAGUACUUUCAAACACUUGAUCACGAACACCAACACUGUCGGGCCUUAACAGAUUCCAUAGACAGACGGGGCGAUCAGCCGACCACCAAAAGAGUUAACCAAAACCCUGCCUCGUCCAUCGUCCUUAUAAUUGUAACAGAAGGAGAAACAACCAACUCCUAUAACUUGCGAGUGACAGGAAAUCACUUGACUUUUACCGUUUCCUAUUUAAGCAUAGCAACUACUUGGCCCAACAAACUAGUGUUCAGAUCAAAGGAACUAUGUCAUGCAUCUAUGGUUGCAAACAACUCCUAUACGUAAAUGCACAAACAUGAGAAAGAAGGCAUGCGCAAGUUUGGGAAAAUUUGGGAUUCAUGCUCCGGGGCUUGCCUUCAAGCGGAGGGGAGGGAAGCUGGUCUUCAGCUGGGGCGACUUCGGCUUCUGGAACUGGUAGCUCAGCUACAGCUCCGUCUUCUGGCACCAGGUGUAGCUCAUAGAUGCCGUCAGCAAGAUAAAACUCUACACGAAUGCAAUGCAGGAGUUAGUGUUUAGACGGUUAUUUCAACAGCAACACUCGCAAGUCUUAGCCCAGAAACUUGUAGCAAAGCUACGGAAAAAGUGGGGGGGGUUCAAGCUUCAGUGGAUAGAGAACAAGACCAAGGGUCGGAUUGGAAGAAACUUAUGAUCUGACCCUUAAACCUUAAGGGAUAACUGUGUUUGGGGUCCUCAGAUCUAUCACAGAGAAGUCCCCAAAAUCUUACACAGAUACCCUCGGGUCAAGGAAAAAGAUACAGCCAAGUCCUCGGGCGAGGCAAAUAAGGGUCGGCUAACAGACGGGGUCGGGCGAGACGGAAAAGGGGUCAAGCGAACAGAUAGGGUUGGGCGAACCGGUGAGGGGUCGGCAGCUUACCUUCGGUUUAUAGGUGAAGCUUUGGGGUCGGGAAGGAGCAGACUUGGGCGGAAGGUCUUAAGCACUAGGGCUUGGACGGAGGCGAUGUCCGGCGGUGCUCCAGCGGCGGCGGAGCUUCUUGUGAGCAACAAGGAAGCUCUAGCACAGCGCGGAGGAGCAGGCGGCUGGGUGGAUUGGGGGGAGCGGACUUGAGCGGAGAGGGGAAACUUUCAAGAUUUCAGCGGGAGUGCUCAGGUGCUCUCAGAGUAGGGCGGCGAAACAGCAAAGGCGAAGGAACUCCGGUGGAACUCUGGCAUUCCAUUUUUAUAGCGGCGCGGAAGAGAGAGAUUUCGAGUGGCACGAAGACCGGAAGAGAAGGAGGAAGUGCGCUGCCAUGGCGGCGAUUGAGCGGUGAUGGGCGGCGGAACAGGACUUCGGAGAUAGCGUCUUUGGCCAUUGGGCACUGGAGACAAGGUGGCGCAGGCGCGGUUUUGUCGGGGCUGAGAUUUUGGCAGAGGCGGGCGUCGUCGAGCGAUGGAUGUGAUUGGUGUGACAGGGAGAAAGGCGCUGCAAGCGAGGUUGCAACAGGCGAAAAGACAGGGUGAACGGCGUCGCAGUCGAGCACGAUACAGCGGCAUUGCCGGCGCACGGCACUGGGGGGUGAGAGAAGGGAGCGACGCUGUCGGAGUCGGGGUUAGCGAUGGAGGAAUCGUCGCAUAGCGAGUUCGGGGGCGGCGCGACUGUGGAGAGGCGGCGGAAAAGCCGGAAGGCAUCGGGCCUUGCAGCCGGGGAUCCGGCGAGAUGAUGGGCGCGAGCCGCGAGGCGGUUUGACGCAGCAGGUGGCAAAGCUCUGCCACAGCGGCGACGGAGCACCAAGGCGCGGCCGGCGAGGGCGCGAGCGAGACGAGGUGCUGCAGAAAGGGUUGCAGAAGGGCUUCCGCUACGAUUGGGGAGGAGGGCGCGGGAAUCCAUCCUGUCGCGGCCGGCGACUGGGCGAAGCGGCGGGCGUCGGAGGGAUGUAGCCAAGCGGCGGAGAAGCUCUGAAGCGGUGCAGGCCGCUCGAGUGCGUUUACCUCGGGAGAUCUGAGGAAAAGAUUUGCGGGUCCAUCGGUCAGUCUUGGUUGUCCCACAGCUCCAAUAUUGAAAGGAGCACUGCCUUGGGGAACUCAGAAGGAACCGACGGGGUUGGUUGGGUUCUCAGGGGUCGGGACUAGGACCGGAGGUGGAGCGCUUAAGCUCAGGGGAGCCGAGACAGAGGGAUUAGAGACUCGGAUUAGGAUUAACUCGGCUGAUUUCAACCAGGGUCGUCACAAUAGUGAUCACGGAUUUUUUCAUUGGUGAUGCGGUCAAUGUGCUCUUUUAUAACUGGGUCAAAUUCAGCCACCAUCCGAACCAAUCCUAAGAAAUUGCCAUUGUUAUCUUGAUACAAUCUGCUAUUACUGCCACGAAAUGCUAUAUUGUGUUCUGCGAGAAAUUUUACAAUCAAAAGAAUCCUGAGCAAAACUUUUCUUCAAUGCUCCCUUUUUUUUCAAGUUCUCGCUGGGCAACAUUAUCAAUUGUUUGAUUCUUCUCCAACCUGAGACGGAAGUCAUACCAUGAGGUCAUAUUUGUCACAUGUUCUCUACUAAUUUCGUGCUCUUUAAGCCUAUGGCUAAGAUGAGACCCGUCAUUGAACCCCUCAUUUGCUAACUGACCUCUCACAAGGCCCUUUCUCAAUAAUUUGUAGCAAAAACAAAAUACCUUGUCAAGUUCUUUGCUGUACACAAGCCAUUCUCUGUCACACUUUUCUCCAUUUGAGAGAACUCUACUAUACGAUAGUGCUCAAAAUCUUCUGGACAAUUUGUCUCUAGGACCAUGCUCAAUGGACAUGUCUCUUUUAGGACCCUUUUCUAGCAAAAUAUCGAUCAUUUUAGAAUCAAGCGCAUCCCAAAUUCUUGGAUCAAAGAUAUCAGGCUGCAAAGAAUUAUCGAUGCCAUCGCCAAUAUUACCAUUAGUACCUCCAACACCAUCGACAAUAUUAGCCUCAUUACCUCCAUCGCCAUCACCAUCUCGUUCUUCUUCAUCUGUAUUACUGUUGCCUUCAUCAACAUUAUCUUCUGGAAUUUCAGCAGAUGGAGUCUCAACCUCUAUUGCAUCAUCACCAAUAUUAGCUUCUAGAGUUUCUCUGACAACAAAUCUAUCAAGUGCACCCUUUUGUGAUUGAGCAAAAGCUUCUAGUCUUUGUUUCUUCUUACAUUUUUCAGCACCAGAUUUAUACUUUCUAAUUCUUGUAGUAGACAUAGGACACCAACAUCUGUUCCAAAAUUAUUUGAAUAAUUGAAUUAAAUCAAAUAGCAGUAUAGCACAUGUAUUUGAAGUUUUAUUUAAUUGUUUAGAUUCAAUUCAGGAAGACCGAAGACACAAGACAUAUAUUAGAAAGAAAACUGACCGGCAGGUGACAGAAGUACUUCCCCGGACGGCCGGACUCACGAGUCACGCCUCAUGGACUGUAGCAGUGCAGCCUGCAGGAUCAGGAUAGUGGGACAGUACGUAACGGAGGUGACCACGAUCAGGAUCAGACAGGGCACCUGUGACGACCGGCCCUAAAUCUUCCUAGUUAAUCGUAAUCCUAGCCCUGAGCACCUGUCUAGUUUUCCGCGCCGAAGUGUUCAACCUCCCGACCGGUCCCGACCCCUGAGACCCGACCCCUCCCCGCUUCGCUCCGGUUCCGACCCCGCCAAAACCAGCCCACCGUCGGAUCCUUCUAAGCCCUUCCAAAACGUCCGUUCUAUCUGACCAGUGGACCCGCGAGAUCUUUUUCCCCCAGAUCUUCCGCAAUAGGCGCACUCGAGUUGCAUGCCCGCUUCAGAGUCUCCCCGCCGCAUGGCUCAAUUUCUCCGACGCUCGCCGCUCAGCUUUGUCUCUGACCCGCGACCGAAUGGAUUCUCGCGCCCCCUUCCUCAAUGGUAGCGGAAGCCCCUCUGCGACCUUUCUGCAACGCCUCGCCUCCCGCGCCCAUCAUCACAUCGCCAGAUCCCGGCCGCAGAGCCCGAUGUCGCCCGUCUUUUCCGUCACUUCGAACACAGUCGCGCCGCCUGGUCUUCGCUACCCGACGAUUCCUCCUUCGCCAACCCCGACCACGGCAGCGACAGCUCAUUUCCCCGCCCUGUCAGAAGCCGCCCGACAAUCUGUUGCUCCGUGCUCGCCCGCGCGCCCGCGGCUGCCUGUCUUUUCACCUGUGCGCCCUUGAUUCUAGCGCCGUUAACCCGGUCACUUCCAUCAAAUCUACCGCACGACGACGCCCGCCUCCGCCAAAUCUCAACCACCGGCAUACCCGCUCCUGCGCCGCCCUGACGCCAGAGCCCAAUGACCGCUGGCGUCAUCCCCGAAGUCCUGCACCACCGCCCUCGUCGCUCAAUCGCCGCCCCGGCAGAGCACUCCAUUGCUUCUUCUCCGGCCUUUGCGCCGCUCCCCUUCUCUCUCCCGCGCCGCUUCCCUUCUCCCUUCCCAGCCGCUAUAAAAGGGAAUGCGCGAGCCCCGCCGGAGUUCCCUCCGCCAUUGCUGCCUUCCGCCAUUUCUCUUGCUCCCUGCUCAAGCUCCUAGCGCCACACACUAAGUUCCUGAGAAACUCUCCUCUCCGCUCCACUCCGUUUUUCCCCAAGCCACCCAGCCGCUUGCUCCUCCGUGCUGCGUAAGAGCUCACUUGUGAUCCACAAGAAGCACCGCCGCCGCCGGAGCACCGCCGGACCUCGCUGCUGUUCAAAGCCUUAGUCCCCCCGCCCAAGUCUGCUUCUUCCCGACCCCAAGCUUUCCUUGUAGGAAGAAGGUAAGCUGCCGACCCCUGUCCGCUUUGCCCGACCCCGGUUCCGUCUCGCCCGACCCUAUCUGUUCCGCCGACCCCUCUCCGCCUCGCCCGAGGGCUCGGCUGUGAUCUUUUUCUUCAACCCGAGGGUGUAUGUGUAAAACUUGGGAACCCUUCAGCGAUUGAGUCUGAGGAUCCCUAGCAUACCAAAUCCUCUAGUUUAAGGAUCAGAUCAUAAGUUCCUUUACAACCCUUACCUCUUGAUCUCCACCAGCUCCCUUGAACCUCCCCACCCUCCUGCUCUUUGUCGCGACUUUCUGAGCUCAGACUUGCAAGUGUUGCUGUUGAAAUAACCGUCUAUGCUAACUAAUGCAUUGCAUUCGUGUAGAGCUGCGCCUCGCCGACGGCUUCUACGAGCUGCACCCGGCACCAGAAGACGAAGCUGUAGCUGAGCUCUUGCCCCCAGAAGCCGAAGUCGAGCAGUUCUCUUCCUCCUUGCUCGAAGGCAAGCCCCGGUUGCAUGAAAACCCUGUGUUGUUUUCCAAACUUGCACAUGCCUUCCUUAAAACAUGCUUGUGCAUUUACGUAUAGGAGUUGUUUGAAACCCUAGAUGCAUGACUUAGAUGGUCCCAUGAUCUGAACACUAGCUGUUGGACCGAGUAGCUGCUUGCUUAACUAGGAGACGGUAAAAGCCGAGUGAUUCCCUGUCACUCGCGAGUUGUAGGAGUUGGAUGUCUACCUUUCUGUUACAACUGUAAGGACGAUGGACGGGGCAGGGUUUGGGUAACUCUUUGGUGGUCGGUUGAUCGCCCCGUCUAUCUAUGAAACUUGCUAAGGCCCGACAGUGGUGGUGUUCGUGAUCAAGUGUUUGAAAGUACUAACCUCAUACUUAGUAUGGGAUGAGGAAGCCGAGUACCGGAUUGAACCUAGACGUGAGCGGUCGUCCCAUUGUUCUUGGAACGGAGUUUCCCCUGCUGGUUGUCGCACGUGGUGGCAAGCGUGGUCACAGAACAGCAGAGGCCGGGUCUGUGGAACCUUGCACCAAAGGAAAUGGGCCCGACACGGGUUAGGGGAUUGAUGGGGAAGGCCGACACAGGAAGCGACCUCCGGGUGCGCGGAUGUCGUGAGGUUAGGUUCACCAUGCAUGGUUAAAGAACUCGAAUCGAUUCGUCUGCCUCUCACAGUUUGAGACUGCUUGAUGGCUAUGUCACCCUGAGUAAAUGAGGAAUUUGAUGAUGACAUGGUUUUGUUGAUAUAUACAUACCUUGUUUUGGGUUCUAUGAUUGCUUAGAAUAGGUUGCAAAACCUAGACCGGUUAAUGAACUUAGAACCGGAGCUAAAACUUGAAAAUAGGGUUUUACUUAGUGCUUUUGGCAAACAAACCCCUUAGCCAAAAAGCCCUGCAUGUCUAGAAGUAUGGAGUAGCUUAACCCUGUCGGUUAAGUCUUGUUGAGCUUAGUAGCUCAGCCUUGUUGUGGCUCCUGUUUUUCAGGUGAAGUUGCUGCUCCCGACCCUUCUCCUGCUGGCACUUGGCCGCCCCAGCUCCCUCCGGGUUGGACGGUCGAGUGGGAUCCCUCCUCGGACGGCGAGGAGAGGGAUCAGUGAUGUCCCGGCUGGCCUCACUAGGACGUCCGACCCCCGACGAUUGCUUCCGCUAGUGGUUUUAUUUUCUUUUGUCUUUCUGAAAACCUUGUAAGACUCUGAUGUUUAUUUCGCAACUAAACUAAGUGGUUAAGUUGUUAACUCGGUGGACUUGUUGUACUCUCUGGAACCGCUCACCUUCGUGUGAGUUUGCUAAAAUGGUCCUGUUCAAGUGGUUAAAUCGGAGGAAAAUCCGACGGCACUUCGUGUUUACUCGACUUAUGCAUGAGCGUCGCGUAUCAGGCGGCUAAAUCAUGUUUAACCAAGUAGAUCCGAAGUGGAUCCGCCACAGCACCAGUCAUGGUUGUCUGGUUGAGGAGGAGCGGAUGGGAAUGUCAGAUGUGCCCCUAGCGGCGUACAGCUCGCGAGUUGUGACGAUUCAGUUUUUGGCGGAGGCGGCGGAUGUGUCGGACGGCGUACAUGCGCGAGUUGCCGAUAUUUGAUGAUGUCGCUGGCGGAUCCCUAGCCCCUAGGCUUGUGCUGUUAACAGGCCUGGCUAUUAAUUUGGGGGCCCAUCGUGGCUGGGGUCCUGUUCGGUCACCCACCUGGCACAUGGCCAUCGACGGGCCUGCCCUGGCUGGGGAUGGACUCAGGGCUCAUUUGGUGCGGCUUACGCCGGCUCCGAAUUCGGUACUGUGCGCUAAUGUAGCGCAUCGUAGCGUGUACCGGAGUUGAAUCCGGGUAAGACACUUUUUUCGGCUCCACCGCUUCCCCUCUACUCAAUUCAUUUUUUUUGCCUCGUUUUGCGUUCCAAUUUCACGCUACACUAGAAAACAGUGCAGCAUAGUGCUUGACUACUGUAGCAAGAAGCCAAAAUCGAAACCGGCUAAGCCGUGCCAAAGGGCCCUCACGCUACCUGUCAAAUAUCAAGCAGCUCAGGUGAUUACAAUUGCAACCGGCUUGAUGCAGUUCUGGCAGGAGUGUCAAUCAGUGCGGCAUCACUAUUUUUUUUUUCUCUUUUCGAUUUCGAAGAAAAAAAAUCAUGAACGGUGCUUUCCAAAUCAAAUCGGACGGUUGGUUGCUCAUGCAGAUCAUGUCGAAAUUUCUCUCCCAAAACCAUCUGGUGGUUACAAUUUACAUAAAUCCUCCGCUAGGGCUUCUUCAAGUAGAAACGAUAAGUUGACUAGACAAACUUGAAGGACGUCUACAAUACGGACAAAACCCGUUGACAAAGUCAGCUCGGGGAGCGUCCUGCCACGCGGGCCCACCCCUACAAGCACACACGGUACCCGGCGCACGGGCACAGGCAGCGAAAAAUCAGGCGAAAAGACGAAGCCGACCGCCCCGACACCCCGGGCCCCACCUGUCAGCAUCCCCUCCCUGCUCUGCCUGCCCUGGCCCUCUGCCCCCCGCUAGCGUGCUGCUGCUGCAAGCCUGCAGCAGCUACCGCUACGGCUACCCACCUUUUUUCCCCGUCCGGUUUCAAAAUUCAAACCCCGGCCGUCUUCCUCCUCCUCUUGCAUCCCCUUCUCUCUCUUCGCUACGGGAGAGGAGAGAGAGGGAGAGACCGAGGCCGAGACCUCGAGGCGGCCGCGUGGCGUCUCGAAGUUGGGGGAGGAAUCCAUUGAAAAAUCCGCGCGUGGGGGGCGGAGGCGAUUCUUCCGCUUCGGGCGGCGAGAGGCAAAGCAUCCGAAGCUAGCAGUAAGCACCACCCCCCUUGUCUGCAUCCAUCCAUCCUCUAGUCUUCGCUGCUCGAUUUCGUUGUUUAUUUAUUGACCGGAGCGCCGCUGCUGCUAGUUUGCUAGCUGCUUGAUAUUCUAAUCGCCGGCGGCCACCGCGGUCCCGGCUGCGGGUUUCGUCCUAGCUGAUUCGGGGGUUCUCGGUAGGGGAUUGGAACCGGAAGGCCGCGGCUUUCAGCUGCUUGGGGUUUGUUGGUGCGCAGGCUAGGUGGGGGAUUUCAAGAUCGAUUUGAGCUGUGUUUUCCGCCCAUCUCGUCGUACUGAAUCCUGGUGAUUUUGAGCUGGUAGUGCGGGGGAAAGAUUAGGGGUUUUCUGAACGGAGUGUGCCUCAGCUCAGAUUCGUCUUUCUCUUGCUCAUGGUUUUAGCUGAGGUGAGGUCCCUCAGCGGACACUUAUGAUUUUGAGCGGGUCUGCGGCAUCAGGAUAAGAGGUAUGAGCUGCUCAACCAAGUGGCAUGUGCAAUGCUCUCGGUUUCCUUUUGUUCUAAGAUGGCGAAAGGUUGUGCUUUGAUGGCACCGUGUUCAUGUUUGUUAAAUAAGUUGGCAUUUUUUUGGUUGGGAAUCUAGGAUGCCUGUUGCUUAAAAGUUUUCGGAUUUGGAGGGGUCUCCGCUUAUCUUUCCAUGUUUCAGUAAGCCUAAUACUCAGGAUGUUGUGGAAAUGAGGUUGUUACUGUGUACAUCUCCUUUGUAGUCUGGUAGAACACAAUUCCUGGAGCUGGUUUUCUAAUCUUCCCCAACAAAUGCUAUACGAUUUGGACGGAUUAGGAAUCCAGGGUUGAUUUGAUUACUCAAACCUUGUGGAGAACAGCAACCCUGGUAGUACUAAACAUGAUUGUUCAGACCUUUGUAUUUCUCCUUUUGAUUCCCAAUUGUUGUGUAUAGGGAUUGAUAGAGUUGAUUUCAUCACUAUGAAUGCUACUCUCUUAAUGCUCCGUGUAAGGGCUUCGUAGGAGUAAGUAGGAAAGGGAGGGCUUUUCGAGGCUAACUGGUUCAUUACUGCGUUAAUUGCUCCAUGCAUAGGUGUGAUAACAACUCAUUUGGUAAUAAAUUGAGAUUGAUGAGUUAAUUACAUACAAGUUGGGGUUAUAUGCGGAGAGUUUAGAAAUGGAAACUUAAUCCUAUAGCUCUUUUGCAAAACCAUUUUACGCUAUUAUUUAUCCUUCUCUUUUCAUGGCAAAAUUGGCUGCUACCAAUAUGGUAGUAAUGGCUUUCCUCAUUUAUUCGCAGGUUUUGCUACUGGAGCAUUGUACUGAUCAGGUUCAGUCACAAUUGCAUGGUUACUGCUCUGAAUGUGGUAAUCUUGGGAAAAGAUGAAAGAAGAUAUCAUGUUUGACAACCAAACAAAGCCAUGCAGAUCGAGGGUUGACUCCAAAAGCAAUCCAAGUUCUCUGAAGCCCAAGUUUGGAUCCUCAUGGGGUUCCCAAAUUGUCAAAGGGUUUACAACAGACAAGAAAACCAAGAAGACAGCUGCCAUUGCAAGCAAGAAACCACCUCUUGCGACUGUUGAAAAUGUCAAUCAGACCAACCAACAGAUUCCAUAUCACUCUAGGGUUAAAAGAUCUCUUAUUGGAGACUUCCCUUGCUCACCAGCUGGUGCUCAAGUCCAUCCCCAUGUCUUUGAUUGCCACAAUAUUAGGUCCCCCGCAUCUCAUGAUCUUUUCCUUGAGUUGGAUCAUCUCAGGGAACAACUGCGUGAGUCGAAAGAAAGGGAGCUAGCAUUACAGGCAGAGUUGCGGCAAUGCAGAGAAAACCCAAGAGUUUCAGAACUUGAGAAGGAGCUUGAUGCUAGGAAAGGUGAAAUUGACAGGCUUGCACGACUUAAUACUUCAUUAGAAGCUGAGAAAACAAGUCUGUCUGAACAAUUAUCAGCUCUAUCUUCUAUGGUAGAACAACGUGAGGAAAAUGUAAGAUUAGAUGGGCAUGGCAAUCGGGUACCUAUUCUAGAUGGGGACAAUACAUCUUCUUCAGGAAACUUGGAAUUUGAAGUUGUUGAACUACGCCGGUUAAACAAAGAGCUUCAGUUUCAGAAACGAAACCUAGCAAUUAAGCUCUCUUCAGCUGAGUCCAAAUUGACUGGCCUUGAGAAGAAUGCAGAGGUACCAUUGUUUGAACUUGAUUAUUUCUUUUUGUACUUUGUAUGAAGGUAUUUCAACUAAUCCUUUUUUUUUGCUAUGCGUUGAAUACUGUCACAGAGUGAUAUUGUUGCCAAGGUUCAAGCUGAGGCAUCGUUGCUGAGGCACACAAAUGCAAAUCUGAGCAAGCAAGUUGAGGGAUUGCAAAUGAGUCGGCUAACCGAGGUUGAGGAACUUGCUUAUCUUCGGUGGAUCAAUUCAUGCCUACGCCAUGAGCUCUGUAACUCGGAUCAAGCAGCUAGAGCAAUGACUGAUAUAGAUUAUAAUGGUGGCAUGGUUUUUAAUGAGUUUGGUAGCAUUGAAGGUGAUGCAAGAAAUGCUGAGGACAAUUCCGAUAUAAAAUUCAGCAUUGCAGAACGCAUCAAACAGUGGUCUCAGAAUGAUAAGAGUUGUCAAGCAUCUAAAAAGGAAGCACUUCUUGAUAGGGCCUGGGUAGAAGCAGCAGAAGCACGAAGUCCGACACGUAGGCACUCACUUGGUGGGCCAAAGGGAUGUGCGCAAGACUUCAACAUCGUGAAGAGAAGGCAAUCUGAUACCUUUAUCAGCCUUCCAGACGCAACAGAUGAGUCAUUCUCCUGUGAUAAGGAUCCGACAAUCAGGGAGAAGCAUGAUCUUCUCGUGGACAAGUAUGAUUUUGGUCGAUCUGAAAGUUCAAGAUUUGUUCUUGGCAAGUCAGAAGUAUGUAAGUCUCAGUGUCUGGAUGUUGAAAAGCGUGUGUUGCGCAUCCCUAACCCUCCACCAAGACCUUCUGUUUCUGUGUCAAACUCUGGUCCAUCAAACGGAUCGACUGCAAAUCCGCCACGGCCACCACCUCCUCCGCCUCCGCCAAAGUUUUCCUCAAAAAGUACUGGUGUAAUGAAGAGGGCACCACAGGUCGCAGAGCUCUACCAUUCACUUAUGAGAAGGGACUCAAAAAAGGAUACUUCCAGUGGUGGAGUCUGUGAAGCUGCUAACUCUGCUAAUGUGCGGAGUAGCAUGAUUGGUGAAAUUGAGAACCGCUCUUCCCAUUUGCAGGCAGUAAGUAGUGCACUCAGUCUUGCUUAUCGAAAUACGGUGACAAUACAAAUAGUAUUAAUUUGUUGGUUCUGGCACUAACUGUGUACUUUAUUCCUUUUUCAGAUCAAGGCGGAUGUUGAGACUCAAGGUGAAUUUGUGAAAUCAUUGAUUAAGGAGGUGACUAAUGCAGCCUACAAAGAUAUCGAAGAUGUGGUUGCAUUUGUGAAGUGGCUAGAUGAUGAACUUGGCUUCCUAGUAUGUAUAUUCCGAUAUGAUUGAUUUCUGAGUAAUCAUUUUCAAUUGCAGCAGUCACUUAAAUUAUUCCUUUUUUUAAUUUCCUCACAUGAAGGUGGAUGAGAGAGCAGUGUUAAAGCAUUUUGAUUGGCCUGAGAGGAAGGCAGACACUCUACGAGAGGCAGCUUUCGGCUACCAGGACCUGAAAAAAUUGGAAUCAGAAGUUUCAAACUACAAAGAUGAUCCACGCCUACCCUGUGACAUUGCACUGAAGAAAAUGGUUACAGUAUCUGAAAAGUAUGACCUAGUUUACUUAAAUAUACAAUGAACAUGCGUCCAUUUGAUAAUUAUUUCAGGUAACGAAACAAGGUACUGAUAAUUUGAUUGGCAUUCUUAAUUCAGGACUGAGCGAGGCGUCUACAACCUUCUGAGGACAAGAGAUGCUAUGAUGAGGCAGUGCAAGGAGUUCAAUAUUCCUACUGACUGGAUGCUUGAUAACAAUCUUAUUAGCAAGGUAAAUGUUCUAAGUUGGACUGCCCCCUGCAGGUUUAAAUUCUAAGUGUACUCUUUCAUCAGCUAAUAAAACUGCAAAUGGCCUUGUCAGAAUUACACUACUUCACUGGAAUGAAUGAUAGCUUGCUGUCCAUUACUUUUAGGCAUGCUUUGCAUGAUGGCUACUAAAAGUUCAAUGGUGACAGAGACAUUGUAAAUACCUCUUAUUUUUCCUUUUUACUUGAAGAGCCUCAUAAUCCUAAAUGGAGAAAUCUACUGUGAUUUUCUCUAGUUUCCUUGAGAAUGCUGAAACUAUUGCUUUUGAGCACUGUUGCUUAAGGAAUGCUAUCAGUCUCUCAGGAGUCUUUGAUCCCUUGUCAGCAAUUGCAGAUUAUAUUCCUGCCAUUAUUCAUGAAAGCCUAUAACGCAACACCAGCUUGUGAAAGACCUGCUGUUCUAUCUAUUUAUAUUGCUGGAGUAUUCCCUUAUGUUUUCUGCUUGGUGGCUGCAGAUAAAGUUUGCUUCUGUGAAAUUAGCGAAGAUGUACAUGAAAAGGGUCGCUAUGGAGCUUCAGUACAUGGGACCUCUGAACAAGGAUCCAGCCCUGGAGUAUAUGCUGCUUCAGGCUGUCAGAUUUGCUUUCAGGAUGCAUCAGGUAACACAUUGUAGCAAAAGGGAAACUCCCAUGCAUGUAGCUAUUGAUCAGACUAGCAAUCAUUCUUUGCUAACAUCAUUACCACAUACAGAUGCAUUUCUCAUAUCUUUAUUUCCAACCACUAAGUUAUUCAACAGAAUCAUUUUCAUAUGGCGCUCGUCUGCAAGAAGCUGUUGUUUUGUCAAAUCUGCAAGCUCUCUGUCAUUUAUAUCUAAACUAUCGCUCAUUUUUGCAGUUUGCUGGUGGUUUCGACCCAGAGACCAUGGAUGCAUUUGAAGAGCUGAGGAACCUUGUUCAUGUCAGAAAUAGCACCCAGUAGCUAGGAUGCAGCGCCACAAGCUGGUCAAUGUAGUGUUGUGGGAAAAAGAGAGAGACUAAUUUCAGCUUACCCUCUCAGUAAGCAUAACAGACAGUUGGCUUUUGGUAAUGUGAUGUUUGUAGGAUUGUUGUGCCGUGUGCAUUCUGUGUAAUAUAUGAGCUCUUUUACAUGUGUGUAGUGGGCUGAAGAGGCCUGCUGGCAGUGGGCUUGUGUAGGAUUUUGUAGCAACCUUGCUGGAAAAUAGAAAAAUGCGUCGGAACAUGCUCUUCGUGUGGAUUGGUGGGCACCGAGCAGUGUUGGUUAUCUUUGUCUCAUGGAAUUUUGAAUCCAUGCGUGAUCAAAAGACCAGGUCAUGGAUGGUUUCUGAAAUUCACACGCUUUCUUGCCGUUCAAUCACCUGAAAUGAUGAGAUUCUCGGGGGCGCAGCUGUUACCGUGUCCAUUGGCCUAUAAUGUUUGAGAACAGUUCAGGUUUUCCCGUAUCACAAAAGUUCACGAAAAAUUCAACACAAAAUAUGAAUGGAUAGAUGAUAGAAGGGUGCAUGUUCAUGCAAAAAUUAGUGUUGAGCAAAAUUUUUAUGAAAAUUUACACCAAUUUGAAAAAAUGUGGCCUGUAAAAUUUGGAUCCAACGGGUGUUGCAAGAGGUAAUAUUUGGAACAGUGUAAGUGCACAACACAACCCGCAUCGGGGACUUGGAACUGAAAAGUGGAAACGGACUCUCCUCAACCGACACGAGGGGGCUUGAAACUGGAAAGUGGAACGGACUCUCCUCAACCGACACGAGGGGGCUGGAAGUCGAAAGUGGAAACGGACUCCUCAACCGACACGAUUCCACGGCGAUCUCCAAAUUUACUUUAGUACCCCCGGUUGCUUCGCGCGGGAUGAGGUUUCCUUCCGAUCCUCGCGCCCCAGUUUCCUCCUCCGCCGCCGCCCGUAGCCGUCGCCUCGGCCUCAGCGGCUCACCCUCCGGCAACCCCACCUUGAUCCUGCCACCCGCUUCGUUGCCAGCCAUUGCGGGGUGGGACCGGCGAGAAAUCUCGUCGCCGCAGCGGCCAGGCCUUCGUCGAGGAGUCCGCCGUGCCGCCGCCGCCGCCGCGUCACAGCAGGUACCAACCAAUCCUUGCCUCCUCGCGGCUGAGCGCUUGCUUGUUUGGGGGUUUUGUAGCUUCAGUGCUUGCUUCGUAGUCAUUGAUCGUCCGUGGAGUCGUGGACUCAGGGCAUCUGUUGCUUAGCUGAACCGUCGGAAGCCUAGCCCAUGGUUAACUCACCCAGCCGAAUUUUCGGGAUUUGUUGUACUUGUACCAUGAAUAAUCGUGGUAAAGUAAAAUCAUGGACGAGGAGAAAUCUAGCCAGUGAUGAUCGUGGUAAAAGCCGCGCGCAGUUUGAUUUGUUGUAGCAUGCCAUAAACUGGGCGAUACUUUGUUUUAAACUAUAGUGGAUGUUACUGACGAAGGCAUGAUUCCCGUAGAAUACUUGUGAAAUUAUUUCAAAUGUACAUACAUUUGGCUAU
rnacentral:lncRNA from 1 species